rnacentral:lncRNA from 1 species
CGCGGCACGUUAAUAUCUCUAUGUAAACCCGACGUGUGGGCCUUUCUUCCGUAUUUCCUGAUAACCCCCUGCAGAAAUAGACAAACACCAAAACUCGUGGAAUUCUGUCAGAUAAAACCUAAGUCUAGGUGUUGGUUGCAUUUGGAUACUUUUCUAUGAUUAGUUGACGGUUAAAUGUGAGCCUUAAGGACCAUCAACAAGCUCCCCCAAGCUUAACCUUUGCUCGUCCCUGAGCAAAGAUGAACUCAAGAGUUUCUGCAGUGAUUUCAUACUUUAAAGGUACACAUGCGUUCAAACAAGAUCUCAUCUCUGGGUUAGGGUAAACUUUUAAGAUUUAAACUCACUCAUAUUACCUUCCACCAUGGGGCUUGCAACCGUCACCUGUGUCUUGAGCAGUUAAAAGAUAGAACGGUCUAGUCAAGAACCAUGUCUCUUAUUCUUGAUCAGCUAUAGCUCUGGAGUUUUUGCAGAUUUUCAAAUAAAACUCAGAGAUUCCUUGUAUGACUCUCUCUAGUCUCUCUUUUGUAGUAUUUCUGGAUCCUUACCAAGGCAGUAUUUGUAUAUGCCUUCUCUCAAAGUAUGUGGUAUUUGUGGUAUAAGGCAUAGUGGCAUUGCCUUCUCUCUCACCCUACUCUAAUAAGGCUUUUGAUAUCUGGAGCUCAUAGGUGGGAGACAGCUAAUACAUACUUACAAGACAUUUAUUGCAUAGUCAAACCAUGCAUCCAGAGAAACAAGUCAAUAAGUCAAAUCAAGAUGUGCAUGUGUGGCGAAUGAAUGAUGCAUGGUAAUGAUGGUGAUAACAAUGGUGAAAGUCUAAUUCUACUUUUGCUAUUUUGAGGGGAUACAUACCUUGCUCUUUUGAAACUUUUGGGGAGAAUGCGAUGCUCUGUAUUUUCUUUUUCUUUCCUCUCAGGUGCGUAUCUUGUACCCCUAAUUCUACUGUCGGACACUUGUCCAUUUUUACCUCUCGUCUCACUUUUUUUUCUUUUCUUUCGAGGUUCCGGGCACUUGCCUCUUUUUAUUUCCUCGUAUUUUUUUUCUCUCUCUUCUUCUCUUUUUUAGAGCACUCAUCUCUUGAAAUAAUAUAGCAAGUGGUAGUAACAAGAUAACUUGAGCAUUUAUUUCACAGGGGAAAAAUAGAAAUAUUUUUGGCUAUUCUCUCCCAGAUUAGGAGUAGAAUAUUUUUGGAUGGUUCUGGAGAUGGAAAUGGGUGGAUAUAUGUGGAUGCGUACUUCUGGAGUAGAAACAGCAUGUAUGAGUGAACGUGCAAGUGAAUCUUGACUUAACCACAUGACAAGCUCCUAAGGGUCUACACAGCUUGACCACACUCAAUGCUCAUAAGCAGUAAAAAGUAAAUGUGUGACUCAAAGUCUAGCAAGCAUGUAUAUAUGGCUGUGGUAGGAAUUUAAACUGUCAUCAUAUAGGAACUCAUCAUGUGAUAUUUUAAAGAUUUUCAAAGAUAAAAUUCUCCAGAAUUCUAGCAUCUCUAGGAACUUUUAAAUAGUAGCUCAACCUUCCCAUAUCAUAUCCGUUAACGACGUAGACUUUAGAUCAAGUACUCUCCCCACAAGUUCAGGUUUAGAGCAAAUCUUAAUUAAUACCAGUCAUGCCUAAACUUAAGAGAGAUUUCAAUUUUUAGAACUAAUCAUGGCAGAGCAACUAUUCAUCAUUUCCAUGUGAGAGCUUAUCAUGAGAGUUCAUAGCAAACUUUAUUUAUUUAUUUAUUUAGCAAGCUAAGCAAAGAUAUAUAUAUAAGCACAAAAUCUUUAAUUGGGUUUUUAUGAUUAUGCAUCUUUUUAUUAUUGGAGUAAACUAUAAACAUGAGAAGAACACUUAGCUGGAUAAAUGGGGGUGCUCUCCCCCAAGCUGGAUUUUGACGUAAUUCCUUUUGAUGUAGCUAGCAAGUGGUGGAGGUGUAUUUGAAUGUCGGCAGCACCCUGACAGCGAUUAGGAUGUCCUCCCUCUGCUAGUCUUCUUUGAUCCUUGAAUUCUGUGGAGCUCAAAUAGACAACAAAGCUUUAUGGAACUAGUUAGUGUUAGCAUAAAUAUCUAGCCUUUAUCAUGUUGAGCCUCCUCAAUAAAUAUUACUUUCUUUGGUAGGAUCAUAAAUUUAUUUUUAUAUUUUCAUUUCUAUAGGACAGGAAUAUAUUUAUUUUAUUUUUACGCCACCACAGUGAAUGUACUUAUGGGUUUUAUGCCAUGAGCAUACUCACAUGGGGCUUACUAUUUUUAACAUUUUUAUUUUCUUUUCAAGAUGAUAUGAACCUGAUUAACUAAGCAAACUAUUUUAAAAUAAUUGAAAGGAAAAAGAUAACUACCAAGUUUACCUCUUGGCAAGGCGUUCGGUGUUUUUAAGUCCUCCAAAUGGGACUCUUCGUUUUCUCAGUCGUCCUGGGAUUCGUUGGAUGGCGAAGUCGGUGGUUCCGGCGGCGCCUGCUCUUCGUGUAUAACUAUCUUCUCUCUACAUACCUGACUCGGUGCUAUGGUCUCCUCAGGACAGUUCUGCUCAAGUUGUAUGUCUUCAGACCUUACCACUUCUCCUUCGUAGUCUGCUCAUCCGUCCUUGAUGAUUUUCCUCCUCUGGUUACGGUUGUGUCGUCUUCUUCUUGUCCUGACCUGCUUAGAGUCUUCAACUAUAUAGUUAAGGUUAAUAAAAUAGCGGCGUACCUUCUCAGAGAGGAAGUGCAUGUGGACUUCUCCGAUUCCAAUGUAGAUGAUUGCUUUAACGGAGCUGAGGAACAGUCUCCCAAUGGUGAUGGGUGGAUCGUACUCGUCUUCUCCCAUGUCAAUAACCUUUCAGAAUGUCUGAUGUGUCAUCUGGAGCGGAAUGUAUGUCGGUUUAGGGGCAUGGUUCCGAAUAGGAGUUGAUAGGUGACUGCGGCCAUUACGUUGACGUUAGAUCCGGUGUCGUAGAGUGUCUUCUGAAAAGAAUAUCCAUUGAUUAUUGUGCACUCGAUGCUUGGAACACCACGGUCGUCCUUCUUGGUCAGGAACGGUGACUUGAGUUGACGAUCUUGACCUCGUUGAGCUACAGUGACCAUCUUAGCUGACUCAGUCCACAUUUGCUUGUUCCUGCUCCCCCUGUUGAUCCUCUUCCUUGGUUCAUGUCGGGAUUGCUCUGAGAUUUGUGUAGUCUUGUUCUUGAAGGAAAAUGUCUCCUUCCUCCCCUUGAUGUAGAAAAUAAUCUUGGCAGCACUAGCGUAGAUGACAGCUCCUGAGGUGUUGAGGAAUGGCCUCCCUAGGAUGGGUGCCCUCUCAUCAGUACCAGUCUCUAUCACCACGAAGUCUGCUGGGGCGUACAAGGUACCAACUCGAACGCAGAGGUUCUUCAAAAUUCUCUUUGGGAAACCUAGCGUACGAUCUGCAAGCUGCAAACACAUGGCUGUUUCUAACAAAGGAUGUGUAAAGAAUUUUUCAUAGAGUACCCUGGGCAUAAUGUUGACGUUGGAGCCAAAGUCGCAGAGUGCUUCUAGGAAGUCCACCAUGCCGAUGGAGAUCGGGAUAACGGGGCAUCCUCGAUUGUCUCUCUUGACUGGCAGAUGGUCAGUAAUUACUUCCACAACAAGGUUACUCCCGUAGUUACGUCCUCAAGCAUCUCAGGGCAGUGAUGGCCUGAGUGUCCAGUAUCUCCAGUGUGUUUGUGCUCGUAGAUCUAGGUUCUUCACUUGGUGUAGUCUGGGAGUUGUAAAAGUCCUUCAUAUUUUGCUGGAAGUGUACCUGCUGAUAGAGACAAGGCAGAGAUCAAGUGCAUGGGCCCUGUUGGUGGAGAACACCAACAGAACCAAAAAUGUAUUUAUUCUUUUUUUCUCUAACCUUAAGCAUAGUGAGCAAGAUGAAGUUAAUGGACAAUAAGAUCAUGAGUGUAGCAUUUAAAACAUUUGUCAGAUCAAAUGCUCAACCUAAUGGAAAGAUAACCUAUCUAUACUUAUGUGUUUUCUCUUUUUUUAUAUAUAUAUCUUCCAAAGACUGAGUAUGCAACACUUUAUCACAUAUGAUUAGGAGUGUGGGAUCACAAAGGUGGAAGGACUAAACGUAUUGAAUCGAUUGGGUUGGUUAAUCUAGAGUUGUAAAUCAUACAUGUUUGUCUCUUUUAUUCAUGUGAACGCUAGAACCAAGGAGAAGCUUUAUAGAAGUGAUAGUCAAGUACCUUAAGAUGUUACCUUACUUGAAGAGUGAUGGUAUAAUAUCACCUUGUGAAAGCUUUCCUUUCUUAUCAGUUGUGCAUCGUGUUUGUGGCACAUUCCAUGGAUCAUCACUUGUGAGCUGUGCCUUCCUUGUGUAAAUUGUUAAACUUCAUGUGCCUCUCUCUUUGUAUCCAAUGUGAGUUUAUCUCAGGACUACCCAGGUCGAUAUUGAAAGUUUUCCUGCAGGGUUUAGUCCAACAAAAUAUCCAAUAUCUACUAUAGCAUACUAUCGGUUCAAAAUGAACCUAGACACCAUGUCUAAUUUGAUUUAGGAGGGCAUUUUGACCUAAGCACCAUGCCUAAUUUAAACUCCGUUGGAAGUAAGAUCAUCAUUCCUAAACUAAGCACCAUGCUUAAUUAAGAGGUAAAUGAAACUACUCCAAGCCUAGACAUAUACUAAAGCAAAUAAAGGAGGUAUGAGAGCAUUUAUAGAGAUCUACUCAAGUGGAGAUGAAGUAGUGUGAUUAGUAUUUAACAAAUUGAGCAUGUCUCAAAGGUAGGGACAACCAACAUAGCAACAUGGCAAAGGAUGUUUUUAUGUAAAGUACUCCCCCAAGCUUGAAUUUUGCAAACUUCAAGUUUGGAUGAAUUUAAUUCAAUGUUGUAUGAUGAUUGGACAUACCUUGUGUUUGUCAUUCAUGUGAUCUUCUUGCUCCAAUCCUGGAAAGGUUAGUGACAAGAAUACCUGAAGGAAUUUUUUUUUACAAUUAUCCUUAUAUGCUCAACUCACAAGGUAAUGUGGCAAAUAAUUAAAAGCUCAUGUUAUGAUCUAAUCAGUGCUUGUUUUAGGACACUAAGCUUGUCCUUGGGAAACCAUCAAUUUAUGUCGGCGAAGUGGUUUCCCCUCCAACGCUGACCUAUAUCAAGAUCAACUCAACGAGAUCUGCAAUAUUUAAUAUAGACAUAUGCAUCGACAACCGCCCUUUUAAAGUUUUUAUAAAUAGAAAGGAUGAGGGGGUUGGAGAUCUCGAAUGUGGUGAUGUUGGAAAAACCAAUGGAUUGGGAAGAUGUUGCAUAUGAGCAUGGAGUAAAUGAAGUGGCUAUGAAAUAAAUUCCAUGCUCAUUAAUGCUUAGAGUGAAAUCCAUGUGGUGUGGUGAAAAUGGUAAGAUGAGUGUGGUAAAAAAAAGGGAAAAGAAAAAAGGAUACACGGACGACUUGGUUCGAAACUAGCACAGCUACCGUUCCCCGGCAACGGCGCCAGAAAGCUUGUUGGGUAUUUUAAACGCAAAUAGAAAAAUCCGCAAACGCACGGAUACCGAUGUAGCCUUCACCCGGGAGUAUUCCAGAGUAUCGAUUUUCCACAGAGAACAUGAGUGUACUAAUUAAGAUCCAAGAUCGCCCAAGAAUAACUAUAUAAUUAUUUUUGGUGGGAAGAGAGGAAGUUUCUUGAGAGUUCUCUAGUUGAUCUAAGAAUCAAGAAUUACUUCAAAGAUUAUUUAUAUCGGGACAUCAGAGCACUAACCACAGAAAGAGAUGAGAAGGGGGCUAGGAAGGUCUGACUACGGUCCUACAAACACCGAUCCGAACGAGGUGGAAUACGUCGACCGUUAGGGCUGUCACUACCCUAAGGCUACCACAACAAUCCGCAGGAUUGGGUGCAAUUCCAGGUAAUUGCAAGACUAAACACCACGUCUAAUCUAUUAAUUACUACUCUAGCGUUAUAAAGACUAGAGCACUUGAUGCAAGCGGGAAUCCAAUAAAUAACAUGAAUGUAAAUAAAAGUAAUUAAAGAACUCAGGAAUUAUGAAUUGAAGAACCUGGAGAACGAUGAAGAACGAACCAUUUGCUGCAAAAGUACAAUGUUGAGGAAGAUCCGACAGAUCCGGCUCCUCCUCCGCUCUCUUCUUCUCUCUCCCUAUUUUCUAGAUUACAACUAGAACUAACUAGAACUAGAACUAGAGGAACUAGAACUAGAACUAGAUGAACUAGAACUAGAUCUAGAUGAACUAGAGGUAGAACUAGAAGAACUAGAGGGAUCCUCUCUACUUGGAUGAAGAAUUGAAACCCUAACUUUGAUUCUAUAGAAGAGGUAUGAUCUCCACGGGCCAGGGGGUCUUGUUUCAUAGUCCCUUCAAGUGAAUCUGGGCCGUUGGAUCAAACCGACAUUAAUCGCACGGUUUUCAUUGGUCCCUUAGGUCGGUGGAACACGAUCCGCGAAGUUGAAGCUGAUUGGUUACUAUAGCUGGGCGGGCACCCAAGGGGGGAGGGCGGGCGCCCUGCCCCCGGGCCCGAUCGGCCUCCCGUUCGUUUCCGUGGCUUCUAGAGUCUUCUAGAUGGUAGAAAAUUGCGGCACGUUAAUUUCUCUAUGUAAACCCGACGUGUGCGCCUUUCUUCCGUAUUUCCUGAUAACCCCCUGCAGAAAUAGACAAACACCAAAACUCGUGGAAUUCUGUCAGAUAAAACCCUAAGUCUAGUUGUUGGUUGCAUUUGGAUCCUUUUCUAUGAUUAGUUGACGGUUAAAUGUGAGCUUUAAGGACCGUCAACAACGCUCCCGAUGGAACUCCUAGAUGACAUGUGUCAUAUGAAAUCUGGCUUCGAUCUGUUUGGAGACAGUGUUAGUUUCGGUGCAAAAUAGGUGCACAGUUUGCAUCUAAUGCACCAUAGUCCAAGAAACCAUUUUGGAUGCACCUAUUGGUACUCCAAGGUGAAGAGGCUCAAGAUGGAAGCUUGGUUUGGUCUGUUUAGAGAUAGUGCUAAACUUGAUGCAAGAUAGGUGCACGGUGUGCAUGGAACGUAUCAUAUGCUCGGAAAUCAAUUUGGACGCACCCGAUGGAACUCCUAAAUGACAUGUGUCAUAUGAACUAUCGCUUUGGUCACUUUGGAGAUAGUGUUAGUUUCAGUGCAAGAUAGCUGCACGGUUUGCGCCUAAUGCACUAUAGUCUAAGAAACCAUUUUGGACGCACCUGUUGGUACUCCAAGAUGAAGAGGCCCAAGUGGAAGCUCAGUUCGAUCUGUUUAGAGAUAGUGCUAAUCUUGAUCCAAGAUAGGAUGCACGGUUUGCAUGGAACGUACUAUAUGCUUGGAAAUUAAUUUGAACGCACCUGUGGGUACUCCAAGAUGAAGAGGCUCAAGUGGAAGCUCGGUUUGGUCGGUUUGGAGAUGUGCUAAUCAUGGUGCAAGAUAGGUGCAUAGUUUGCUUGGAACGUACCAUAGGCUCAGAAAUCAAUUUGAACGCACUCGAUGGAACUUCUAUAUGACAUGUGUCAUAUGGAAUCUCGCUUCGGUCCAUUUGGAGAUAGUGUUAGUUUCGGUGCAAGAUAGGUGCACGGUUUGUUCCUAACACACCAUAGGCUAAGAAACCAUUUUGGACACAGCUAAUGGUACUCCUAGGUGAAGGGGUUCAAAUGGAAGCUCAGUUUGGUCUAUUUGUAGAUAUUGCUAAUCUUGAUGCAAGAUAGGUGCAUUGUUUGCAUGGAACGUACCACAUGCUUUGAAAUCAAUUUGGACUCACCCGAUGGAACUCCUAGAUGACGUGUGUCAUAUGGAAUCUCACAUCGGUCUGUCUGGAGAGAUUGUUAGUUUUGGUGCAAGAUAUGCGCACGGUUUGUGCUAAUGCACCAUAGGCUAAGAAACCACUUUGGACGCACCCGAUGUUACUCAUAGGUCAAGAGGCUCAAGUGGAAGCUCGGUUUGGUCUGUUUGGAGAUCGUGCUAGUCCUGAUCCAAGAUAGGAUGCACAGAUUGCAUGGAAUGUACCAUAUGCUUAGAAAUCAUUUUGGACGCACCCGAUGGAACUCCUAGAUGAUGUGUGUCAUAUGAAAUCUCGCUUCGGUCUGUUUGGAGUUAGUGUUAGUUUUGGUGCAAGAUAGGUGCACCGUUUGUGCCUAAUGCACCAUUGGCUAAGAAACCAUUUUGGAUGCAUCUAUUGGUACUCCAAGGUGAAGAGGCUCAAGUGGAAGCUUGGUUCGAUCUAUUUAGAGAUAAUGCUAAACAUGAUGCAAGAUAGGUGCACGGUUUGCAUGGAACGUUUCAUAUGCUCCGAAAUCAAUUUGGACACACGCGAUGGAACUCCUAGAUGACAUGUGUCAUAUGGAAUCUCGCUUUGGUCUAUUUGGAGAUAGUGUUAGUUUUAGUGCACGAUAGGUACCCAGUUUGCGCCUAAAGCACUAUAGUCUAAGAAACUAUUUUGGACGCACCUGUUGGUACUCCAAGGUGAAGAGGCUCAUGUGGAAGCUCAGUUCGAUCUAUUUAGAUAUAGUGCUAAUCUUGAUCCAAGAUAGGAUGCACAGUUUGCAUGGAUCGUACCAUAUGCUCGAAAAUCAAUUUGGACGCACCCGAUGGAACUCCUAGAUGAUGUGUGUCAUAUGAAAUAUGGCUUCGCUUUGUUUGGCGAUAGUGUUAGUUUCAAUGCACGAUAGGUGCACGGUUUGUGCCUAAUGCACCAUCGGCUAAGAAACUAUUUUGGACGCACCUGAUGGUACUCCUAGGUUAAAGGGCUCAAGUGUAAGCAUGGUUUUGUCUGUUCGGAGAUAGUGCUAAUCUUGAUGAAAGAUAGGUGCACAUUCUGUGUGGAACAUACCAUAUGCUCGAAAAUUAAUUUGGACAUACUCGAUGGAACUCCUAGAUGACGUGUGUGUUGGUGUUUUUCCCCCGGGGGGUCACACCAACGAGUAAAUUUGUAUGCGUGCUCCCUUUCCCGGAUGGUGAUGCAAGAAGACACAGAGAUUUAUCCUGGUUCGGGCAAGAGAAGGCCCUACGUCCAGCGGGGGGAGAGAGUUUGUAUUAUCUUGCACCUAAGUGCUUGUACAGGGGCGAAUACAAGCGUGGUAUGAAGUGUGGAGCUCUACUACGUAUGAGCGUGGUCUUGUGUCGUGAUCUGCUGUUCUAUUCCUGAGUCCCUCCUUUUAUAGUUCCAAGGAAGGGCCUAGGGUACAUGUAUAGGCGUAGGAAUUGGAGUCGAUAGCAGCAUGGAUCGCUGACCUACUCGAGGUUUCCGUACCGGCAUGCCCUCGAGCCGUCCCGUCUUAAUAGCCUGGUGAUGAUCACGCGUGCCCCUGCAUUCUGCUCUGCGCGCCGUCUUGGAUUGGUUCGGUGGGUGCACGCUUAUAUGCCUCGGCGGCAAAUCCGGCGGAGCGGUUACGGCGUGGUCAGUCAACGCCCGACUCGUCUCCAGGAAGGAGCCUGGUGAAGUCGAGGGUCGGACGCCGUACGAGGUGUCGAUAUCUGGAGCGCUGACCUUGGGUGUCUCGAGGGGAUCCCGAUUAGACGUUCCAUCCUUGUUUCCCGCGUCCUGACACGCCCUGGUUCGUUCGGUGGGAAGGCUGCAAAAAGAACGAUGGGACAGAAGCCUCCCGUGACCCGUGUGUUAGGUGGGGAAGCGUCAGGUGCAUUAAAUGCCCUGGCUCUCGUGCGCGCGUCAGGCGGCGGACAGUGUCCUUGCGCUCGACGCCUCUCGGUUCGCUCGAGCCCGCUUCCGUAUUCGACGGCAGUUGUCGCUCGAGCCCUGACCGAUUCGCUCGACGCUAUUUCCGUCUUCGAGGCUGCGGCCGUCGAUGGCCGCGCGUGUGUACGGAUGGUCUCGUUAUACGCAUUGGUGAGGGUACCCCUCGUUGAUACCCUCGACAGUAGCCCCCGAGUCUUCAUUCGAGCGCUGGCGCUCGAGUGGAGACUUUCGUUUUUACGGUCGAGCUUCCACGGGGGCGCGCGAGCGACCCCGCGGGGGUAGCCCCCGAGCCCUCGAGGGAGUAUUUAACUCCUUCGAGGGUUAUUUUGCCAAAUUUGCAGAAACGCUGUCAACACCCGUGGUGGAAGGUUCUGUUCGGCUUUGCCUUGCGUGGAGGUUUCGACGUACUCUCGAUAGAGCGAGCGUCUUCCACCCCUGAUUGAGUUCCUAGCGGGUAGUCCAAGUGAGAACCUGUGCCCCUUUCGAGGGGGUCAGCUAUAGCCCGGAGGUGUCCUCAUAAAGCAGGGUCGACGUGGUCGGGGAUACCGGUCUCAUUCGAUAGAGUCCAGCGGCUCGAUGCCUCCCUUCGGGGGGAUUCCUCUCGACUUUCUCGACCCCACCUUGGACAUCGCCAGCGAGUCCUCGAGGCGGGCCUCGAUUUUCAACCACUCGCUGGGGAUCCCUGAAUCUUGGUGCUCGAGAUCGGCUGUCGAACCCUUUCGACGGGCCAGCCAUCGACCUCUCGAGACUAUCGUGGGCGCAUACCUUGGCUUACGAAGUAAGGAAGCUGCCGUGCCGGUUCGUCUUUCUGCCCGUUGGGCGCACCUUUUGAGGUAAGUGACGUUGCGACACUAUAUCGGCGGGGAAUUCGGAGCGUCCGGCCUGUGAGGAGAGAAAGGACGAUUAGGUGGCGCAUUUCUCGGAUCUGUCCGUUGGCGGACUGCUGCCUAUAAAUACGUCGUGGCGUCGCCGCCGUUCCUCUCCCUUCCGCCUUCUCGGUUUUAUUCUCUCGUUGCCUUUGCUUUCUCGCCGUCUCACGCGCACACGCCUCCUCGAGCUGUAGUGAAUCCACCGUCCCUCCAGCCGAGAUGCCUGUAAGACUCGUCGCCGCCGACGACUGGCGCCUGUCGUCGAUGACGGAGCGCCGGUUGUUAGAGCUUGAGAAAGAGGGACUGCUGCGCCGCCGUACCUCGCUAUCGUCGCCAGAGUGGAUCGCGCCGCCGGCGAGUCACAGGGGGCCUCAGCCGCACGAGGGCUACGUGGUGUCGUUCGCCAAGUUCCACCACCACGGUCUGGGCGCGCCCCCGAGCCGCUUCAUGCGGGCCCUCUGCUUCCAUUAUGGGGUGGAGCUCCAGAACUUCUCUCCGAACGCCAUCACCGUAGCGGCGGUCUUCGCCGCCGUGUGUGAGGGCUACUUGGGGAUGAUGCCGCACUGGGAGCUGUGGCUCCACCUCUACAGGGGCGAGCUUUUCCAUGCCCCCACCAGAACCACGGGCGUAAGGAAGCCCGUGCGGGCGGGAUGCCUCAAUCUGGUGCAGAAGACGGGCAAGACGGACAGGCCGCGGGAGUACAUCCCGGUAGGGUUAUCGACCAACCACGCCGGCUGGGACUCCCAGUGGUUUUACCUGCGGAACGAUGACAACCUCCUGCCUUCCUACACGGGCCGUCUGAUCAUGUAGCGUCCAGCGGACUGGACAUACGGCGUCGUCCAAGCUCAUCAAUCUCGGCUCGACCCCCUCCUCGACGCCCUGAAGAAGCUUCGCCAGGAGGGUUUGACCGCCGCUCUCGUCCUCUCGGCCGCCCAUCACCGGAGAGUUCUCCCUUUGAUGUCUCGACCGUUGAGGAUGGACGAGAUGGGCCCUGGCGUCUCAUCUCGGGACCUCGAGGCGUGUCGGAUGUCCAACGAGGCUCCGGCGGACGACGAAGUCGCGGCCCGAGUCAGGGCUGCAAUUGCCGGUGAUUUUCAGCCGGAGCACGUUAACGGCUUCCCCAUGAGACCAGACGCAGGCUCGAUCGAUCUGGUACGCUUUCUUCUUGCGCGCAGCCUCGAUUCUAGGUUUCCUUUCUCCCGUCUCUUUUUUCUAAGUCUACCUUUGUUUUGGCAGGGUCGGAUUGAUGUCCGGUCCUCGAGGCCUCCGGUAAAGGAGGACGAGGUCGAUCGUAACAAACGGCGCCAAUCUGCCGAAAAGCUAAAGUCUACCAAGGACUCUGCAAAGAAGGGGGAGAAGAAGAAGAACCUCGACCGCCAAGCAUUAGAGGCGCGUCGAGCCAAAUCCAGGCAGAGGGGGGAGCCUGAGGAAGAAUCCCCUAACGAUGAUGACGAUGACGACGAGGACAGCGACGACUCUGAGGGGAUGGCGUCGCGCCUCGAUUGGAUUCUCGAGGGCCCGCCUCGAGGUGACGUCGAUGCCCCCCGGACGGAGGCGCCAGAGGAGAGUCCGAGCGGAUCACGUCGCCCCCGGGCCGACACCCCUCCCGCGCCCAAGGCGGGCCAGGACGCACCGCGCCCUCUCCCGGUGCCCAGGGAGAGCGGUCUGGCUAGGCCCCAGGCGUCGGGGCCACUAACUCGUGGUCGCGCCGCGGCCUCUGAGAAAGGAGAUGCCGGCCGUAGGAGCGCCAGUCCCGGCGCCCGCCAGGCGGGGACCGACGCGCCUAGGCCAGUGCCUGCCCUCGAGGGGCCUGGAGCCCUGACGCGGGGUGGCUUGAGGCCCACUGGUCGGGGUGGCAGGAGGCGAGCCGUUCUCCCUGUGGGGUAAGCCUUUUUGAUGUCGCGGUUUUUGUCUUCCCAUUCUUCCACCUUUCCUCAUAUGCCAACCUUUUCUCAGGCUAAAGCGGACCCUUGAGCAGGCCCAACCAUCCAUGGCAAAGAGGCUCAAAACGGGUGCCGCCUCCAAGGAACCAGGUUCGUAGUUUAUUUCUGGGCGUUGCGAUGUUCUUGUGUCGGUUAUCAUAACGUCUGACCCUUACCCUUUGUUUCGUAGGCUCCUCCAGCUCCCAACCUCCAGCCGGCGUCGAGAGGGCUCCGUCUCGUCCCGCGCCUACUCCGUCGCCGCCGACUCGUGAUGAGGCGCCCCAGACGCAAGCGUCAGAGGGAGCCCCCGAGCCCCCUCGAUUGGGGGUCGAGGGGGAACCCAUCACCAUCAGCGAUACGUCCGAUGGUAACGAAGCGUCUAGGGGCGCUCGCCCUAUGGAGGAGGAAGCGUCGACCCCCAACGUCGCGGGAUCAACUCCCUGGCCCGCCGGCCUCCGCACCCUCGAGGAGCAGAAAAAGAAGAGGGAGGAGGAUGAACAGCGGGAGCGCGAGGCGGCGCGGCAGCCAGAGGAGCAUGAGGCACAGCAACAGCAGCAACAACAACAGCGGCAGCAGCAACAGCAACAACCGCAGCAGCAACCGCAGCAGCAGCAGCAACAACCACCGCAGCAGCAACAGCAGCAGCAGCAGGCGGGCCAAGAGGAGGGACCGCUCGAGCCUCCGCCCCAAGGUUCGGCCCAGCCAGUGCCACCGGAGCCGCAAGAGCUCGGCGAGGAGGAGGACCUGCCGGUGUACGGCCCCCCAACCCCGGCGUGGCUCCUCCCGGGGGCACCUGCCGCGAUCCGGGCAGAGCCGGGGCGAGCGGAUGGAGUGGUGGCGCUCGCCUGCCUGAAGCGCACGCCCCCCGACCCCGAGUCCGAUAUCAAGAGGACAAUUUACGGCAUGGACGGGAUCGCCCCAGGGUUCCUCCGGGAACGUCGGGCGUGGGAGGACCGCUUUCCUUCCGAGGAGGAUGAAAUUGGGGCAUCAGGGACCAAGGAUGGAACCUGGAAGACGGUGGACGACGACGGAUGGUUCCCAUGCCUCGUCGACCUGUUCCUGCGCCAUGGAGGCUCCCUCGAGACCGUCGAGGGCCUCAUCCGCGGCGUUAAGGCGCGGGCUGACCGGGAGAUGGAGCACUGGUGCCCCGACCGCAUCCGUAUCCGGGCCUCCCACGACCCGUCUGAGCCCGACAUCUUCCUCGACGAUCGGAAGGAGGCGGAGAAGUGGGAACACGUCGAGGAGCUCCGCCUUUGGAUGAAGCAUGUGGUGGGGCUCCUCUCGGACGUUAUCAACAACGGGCUCGGCCCGGCUUAUUUCGUAAGUGUUUCUCGAACUCCAAUCCUCAUGGUGCUUUCUGGUUUCCGUAUUCUAAUCCAUCCGACCCUUGAUUCGCAGGACAUGAAAGAGACCUCCCGCAUCAAGUCCAGCUUCAUACACGCCACGAGGGGCGGUUGGGAGCAGCUCCCCCUCCUCAAGGAUCAACUCCUCGAGUCGCAGGAAAAGCUCCUUAAAGCUUACAAAGAUCUCAUAGCACUCGAGGAGGAGAAGAAGGCGAGGGAGGCUGCCUUGGCUGAGGCCCGAGAGGCCUCGAAGAAGGCGGAGGAGGAGACGAUGCAGCUACGGGAGCGGGCUCUUACGGUCGAGGAGGCCGCGUCCAGAGCCCGGGAGGAGGCCCUGUCCUACAAGAGCGUUAUCGCGGAUCUGGACAAGGAGAAGGGCCUCCUUAAAUCUGACCUGGACUCUCUCCGAGAGUCCUUCCGAAAGAUGAAGGUGGAGCAUGUGAACGGCGAGGUCGCCAGGGGCGCCGCGGAGGAAGCCAAGAAGAAGGCCCUCGAAGAUCUCGAGGCGGAGCGGGCUCGAUCCCGCAGUCUCUCUAACGACGUCGAGCGUCUGAAGGGAGAAUUGCUGGAGAAGAGUGGGGCCAUUGCUCAGGCUGGCAAGGCGAUCGAGGAUCUCCGCGUUGCCAACACCGAGCUGGCACGCUCCAACAAAGAGAUCGAGGGGGCCAACACCAGGCUAGUCGGCGAGAACACGGCCCUCGAGGAGACCGUACGCGGUAUGUUUCCUCUAUCAGAUUUCUUUUUCCAAGGUGUGCUUAGUUUUUCCUAAGGUUUCUUUAUAUUGGCUUUUACAGGGCUCAAGGACGAACUCCUGGCCGCCCAAGCCGAGGCUCGCAACGCCAAGGCUCAGCUCGAGGCGGAGGUUGCUUUGAACCGUCGAGUGCGGACGGCGAUAAGUGAUCUCUCGACCUCUUGGGAGGUCGAGCCUAUGGAUGAGUCGAGGGAGGACGCUCGAGGCGACGCCCUGGUCGACCAGUUGUGCUACAUAGGCGCGACGCUGCGAGAUCGGGUGCGGGACGCCCUCCACAUCGGGGUGAAGCGGGCGAUGGCGGUUGUCUGCUCGGGCUUCUCCUACGACAUGGAGGUGGUGUCCCAUGGCUUCGUCACCGACAUCUCCAAGACCGACGCGGAGAACGAGGAGAGGCUCCAUGCCUUGAUCGACGACGCGGAGGCUCCUGGGGAAAGGUUGGCCAAGCUUUUCGAGCCUGAGGUGCUCCCUCCUGAGGCUAGCUCGGGCGGAGGCGAGGGCGGUGAGGAUCGUGCCGCGGACUGAGGCCUGCGAGCCUGCUCAGGACGCCUGAGGCCCCCUUGUACGAUACUUUGUUAAUUCUGUGGGUAACUGAUGCUGUAUCACUUUCGUAAUUGUUAAAUGCUUAUUUUGUCUUUCUGCUUGAUGCUUUCGUUUCUCUUUGCGCCUACGUUUGUAUCCCUUGCUCGAUUUUUCGUAAAAGACCACCUCGAUCACUUCAAUGGCGAGUAGAGUUUCCGUAGCCCGGGGGCGUAGGAGUUCUCCAACUCGUUGUCCCUCGGCCUUUGAGGGGCUCGAGGCGCCUUAGCUACUUGAACCGUGCAAGGUUUACUACGUAAGAAAAGAAAACUUCUUGAUUUUUUCGAUACUUGGGGGGGGUCGUCCCCCUGGUAGCCCCCGAGGGGGUGCUGACUAUGAUGGGUCAUAGUCGGCGCCCCCUUUUAACGUCGAGAUCGUGACUUAUUAAUCUUCUCGGCACAAAGAAAGAAGAAUUGUUUCGAGGGAAGGACUUUAUUUAUUCAUUCGUUUACAAAGUCUCGGUACAAAACGUAAGCAGGAACAUAAGUUUAGAACUUCUAGGGGUAGAAUCGACGUAGCUGUUCGAUGUUCCAUGCGUUGGUGAGAAUUGCCCCCUUUUCGUCUGCCAGCUUGUACGUUCCCAGCUUUAGGACCUCGGCCACCACGUACGGACCUUCCCAAGGCGGAGUCAGCUUGUGGCGUCCCUGAUUGCUUUGCCGGCGUCGUAGGACUAGGUCGCCCACAUUGAGGUCCCUCUUGCGCACAUGCUUGUCGUGGUAGCGUCGAAGCCUUUGCUGAUAUCUGGCAGAGUUGAGGAGGGCCAUGUCUCUAGCCUCCUCAAGUUGGUCGACCGCGUUUUCUUGAGUCUCUUUGUUCGAUUGCUCGUUGUAGGCCUUGAGUCGAGGUGACCCAUACUCGAGGUCUGUGGGGAGGAUAGCCUCAGAGCCGUAGAUCAUGAAGAACGGGGUGUAUUUUGUGGCCCUGCUUGGUGUUGUCCUAAGGCUCCAUAGGACUGAGGAAAGCUCCUCGACCCAUUUUUUGCCAAAUUUCUUCAAUCGAUUGUAGAUCCUUGGCUUGAGUCCUUGCAAAAUCAUGCCGUUGGCACGCUCGACUUGGCCGUUAGUUCGAGGGUGGGCUACUGCAGACCAGUUCACACGGAUGUGAUGCUGAUCGCAGAAGUCCAAGAACUUUUUGCCGGUGAACUGGGUGCCGUUGUCGGUGAUGAUGACAUUGGGGAUCCCAAACCGAUGGAUGAUGUCGGUGAAGAAAAGGACGGCCUGCUCGGAGCGGAUGUUGGUGAUGGGUCGAGCCUCGAUCCAUUUGGAGAACUUGUCAAUGGCCACCAGCAAAUGGGUGAAUCCUCCUUUCGCCUUUUGUAGAGGUCCUACUAAAUCGAGCCCCCACACCGCAAAAGGCCAGGUAAUGGGGAUCAUCUGAAGAGCGUGGGCAGGCAGAUGCGUCUGCUUGGCGUAGAACUGACACCCGUGACAUGAUCGUACGAGCUUGAUGGCGUCCGCCACGGCCGUUGGCCAGUAGAAGCCUUGUCGAAAAGCGUUCCCUACAAGGGUCCGUCGAGCGGCGUGGUGACCGCAAGCCCCCGAGUGCAGGUCAUCGAGGAGUUUUCAGCCUUCUUCCACGGUGAUGCAAUGUUGUAAGACCCCCGUCGGGCUCCGUCGAUAUAGCUCGUUGUCUUCGCCAUAGAUCACAUAUGAUUUGGCCCGUCGAGCGAUACGACGAGCUUCUGACCUGUCUUCUGGUAACUCGCCGCGGAUAAGGCAGUCGAGGAACGGUGUGCGCCAAUCGAAUGGUCGACUUGGUCGUCGUUCUAUCUCCAUCAUCUCUUCCACCAUCAAGAGCGUAUCGACAGCAUUGGUUGGUUGGGCGGUGGUGGCGUCGACGCCAGCCCCCGUGCCUAGGUCGACGGAUGGCUCGUGAAGAUCUUUUGAGAAUGCAUCAGGCGGCACCGUGCCUCUGGUCGAUGCGAUCUUGGCGAGUUCAUCGGCUGCUUCGUUGUAGCGUCGAGCGAUAUGGACAAGCUCGAGACCGUGGAACCUGUCCUCGAGUCGACGGACCUCCUUGCAGUACGCUUCCAUUUUUGGGUCGUGGCAGCUCGAGGUUUUCAUUACUUGGUCAAUGACGAGUUGGGAGUCACCUCGGACGUCGAGGCGUCGGACUCCUAACUCGAUCGCGAUCUUGAGACCGUUGACGAGGGCCUCAUAUUUUGCGACAUUGUUAGAUGCGGCAAAAUGAAUCCUGAUUACGUACCUCAUGUGGACGCCCAAGGGUGAGAUGAACAGCAGGCCGGCUCCGGCUCUAGUUUUCAUGAGUGACCCAUCGAAAUACAUCGUCCAUAAUUCCGCCUGGACCUGGGUCGGGGGGAGCUGGGUGUCCGUCCAUUCUGCGAUGAAGUCUACCAAGGCCUGCGAUUUGAUGGCCUUGCGAGGCGCAUAAGUGAGAGUCUCACUCAUGAGCUCGACCGACCAUUUUGCUAUUCUUCCCGUGGCUUCUUUGCUCUGGAUUAUUUCGCCUAAAGGAAAAGACGAGACCACCGUGAUGGGGUGGCCAAGGAAGUAAUGCUGCAGCUUGCGACGGGCAAGGAUUAUGACAUAAAUCAGCUUCUGGAUUUGGGGAUAACGUGCUUUGGUCUCCGAAAGCACCUCGCUGACGAAAUAUACUGGCCUCUGAACCGGUAACGCAUGUCCCUCCUCCUGCCUCUCGACCACCACCGCCGCGCUGACGACCUGGGUCGUCGACGCGACGUAGAGGAGCAGCGGCUCUGCAGGUUGAGGUGGAACCAGGACUGGUGCCGAGGUCAGCGUCUUCUUCAGCCUUUCGAGUGCUUCCUCGGCCUCAGGGGUCCAAGAAAAGAGCUCGACCUUCUUUAGGAGUCGAUAUAAUGGUAAUGCCUUUUCUCCUAGUCUCGAGAUGAAACGGCUCAGAGCCGCCAGGCACCCCGUGACUCUCUGUACACCCUUGAUGUCUCGGAUCGGCCCCAUUUUCGUGAUGGCCGAGACUUUCUCGGGGUUGGCCUCGAUGCCGCGCUGCAAAACGAUGUAUCCUAGGAGCAUGCCUCGAGGCACGCCAAAAACGCACUUCUCGGGAUUGAGCUUGAUCCGGCUGGUGCGUACGCAGCUGAAGGCAAUCUCGAGGUCCUGGAUCAGGUCUCCUCGUCGCUUUGACUUGACGACAAUGUCGUCGACGUAGGCUUCGACCGUUGACCCUAUAUGUUCGCCAAAUACGUGGAGCAUGCAACGUUGAUACGUGGCUCCCGCGUUUCGAAGCCCAAAUGGCAUGGUCACGUAGCAAUACAUCCCAAAAGGCGUGAUGAAAGAGGUCGCGAGCUGGUCGGACUCCUUCAUUUUUAUUUGGUGGUAACCAGAAUAUGCAUCAAGGAAAGAAAGGGUUUCACAUCCCGCGGUAGAAUCGACAAUCUGAUCAAUGCGUGGCAAUGGAAAGGGAACUUUUGGACAUGCUUUAUUCAGACUAGUAUAAUCGACACACAUCCUCAUUUUCCCAUUCUUUUUCUUAACUAAUACAGGGUUUGCUAACCAGUAGGAUGAUGAACCUCCUUGAUGAAUCCGGCCGUCAAAAGCUUGUGGACUUCCUCGCCAAUGAUCUUGCGCUUCUCCUCAUCGAGUCGGCGCAACCGCUGCUUCACUGGCUUGGAACCGGCUCGAAUCUCCAAGGAGUGCUCGGCGACUUCCCACGGUAUGCCUGGCAUGUCCGAGGGACUCCAUGCAAACAUAUCAGCAUUUGCACGGAGAAAGUCGACGAGCACGGCUUCCUAUUUGGGGUCGAGGUCGGCGCUGAUCGUCAGCACUUUGCCGUCGGAGUUGUUGGGGUCGAGCGGGAUCUUCUUGGUUCCUUCCGCCGCCUCGAAGCUGCCCGCAUGACGCUUAGGCUCUGGAGCCUCAGCGGCCAUGGCCUCGAGCUUUGCAACGAGCUCGGUGGAGCUCUCGACCGCCUCCCCGUACUCGACGCACUCGACGUCGCACUCGUACGCGUGCUCGAAGGAGGAACUGACAGUGAUGACGCCUUUGGGACCAGGCAUCUUCAGCUUCAAGUAGGUGUAGUUGGGUAUAGCCAUGAACUUGGCGUAGCCCGGGCGCCCGAUGAUGGCGUGGUACGUGCCUCGGAACCCAACCACAUCAAAGGUGAGGGUCUCCUUCCUGAAGUUGGCCGCUGUGCCGAAGCAGACCGGUAGGUCAAUUCGACCUACUGGCAGUGCCUUUUUCCCUGGCACGACGCCAUGGAAACCGCCGGCGCUUGGCUGGAGGCGUCCUCUAUCGAUGCCGAGGAGGUCGAGGGUCUCGAGGUAGAUGAUGUUGAGGCUGCUGCCACCAUCCAUCAGCACUUUCGAGAGUCGGGUGUUGACGAUGAUGGGGUCGACGACGAGCGGGUAGACGCCUGGGGCGACUACCUUGUCGAGGUGGUCCUCUCGGUCGAAAGUGAUAGGAGUGCUUGACCAGCUAAGGUAUUGGGGCACCGCCAUUCUUGCCGCAAAGACUUCGCGACGCUCCCUUUUGCGCUGCCUCAUGGUUAAUUGAGUCGAGGGCCCGCCAUAGAUCAUGUAGCAGUCGUGGACGGCGGGGAAGCCGUCGUCAUCUUUGUUGUCCUCCUUGCUGCCAGCCUUCUCUUUGUUGGAGUCAUCACGCGUAUCUUUUUUGAACCCCAGACCGUCGAAAUGCUUUCUCAGCAUAAGACAGUCCUUGAGCUUGUGGUUGGCGCCUCCCUUAUGGUAAGGGCACGGCUCCUCCAACAUCUUGUCAAAGAUGCCUCCAUCCGGAGGGCCUCGAGGCUUCUUUCGAUCCAUGGCGGCGACAAGGUUGUCAUCGGAAUCUUCCCGGUGGAACUGCCGCACUUUCUGCUUCUUUUUAUUUGUCUUGAGGCCUCGACUGGAGGUCCCAUCUUCGUCGACGGGCUGCUUGCCUUUUCUUCCUUCUGAGCUGAAGAAGGCGCCGACUGCCUCCUCCCCUGCCGCGUAGUUGGCUACUACGUCCAUCAGCUCGUCGACGGUCUGAGGUCGAUUGCGACCUAAUUCCCGCACCAAGUCUCGACUGGUGGUGCCCGAGACAAACGCCAAGAUGACGUCGUGGUGAGGGAUGUGCGGCAGCUCAGUGCGCUGCUUCAAGAAGCGUCGAGCAUACUCCCGAAGAGUUUCUCCCGACUUCUGCUUGCACUUGCUGAGGUCCCACGAGUUCCCUGGCCGUAUGUAGGUCCCUUUGAAGUUACCCUCGAAGACUCUGACCAGAUCAACCCAGUCAUGGAUCUGAUUGGCAGGGAGUUCCUCGAGCCAUCGACGGGCGGUGUCGGAGAGGAAAAGGGGUAGCUGUCUGAUGAUGGCUCGAUCAUCACCUCGAGCGCCACCUAGCUGACAGGCCAGCCUGAAGUCGGCCAGCCACAACUCUGGUUUGGUCUCUCCAUUGUACUUCGCGAUGCUGGUCGGGGGUCGAAAUGGAUUGGGCAGGGGCGUGCUGCGGAUCGCCCUGCUGAACACCCGUGGGCCUAGUGGCUCGGGGGCCACCCGGUCCUCGUCGCUGUCGUAUCUCCCACCGCGAUGCGCGCUAUAACCGCGCUCUUCCGCGUCUCCGUGCCGGCGGCGUCGAUUUUCUUUGAUGUCGUGCCGCGCGUCAUGUCGAUGUUGAUUGUCGACGGGGAGGAUGAGAGCGGUCUUUCUACCUCGAGGGGGAGGUUGUUGAUGGACUGACACCUCCUCUUCGUUUAGAGGCUAUUCGUCGCACUUCUCUGUGGCAGCUCCUCGUCGUCGAGACGCCGAACUUUUGGCUUGUUGAACCGCCGCCACCCGGAGCAAUGUCUGUACCUCAUCUCGAAUGCGUCGGGCCUGGGAAUUCGACGGCUCUGGCAUGUUUCGUAGCAGCAUCGUCGCUGCCACUACAUUCUGGCCUGCUCGAGGGAAACGGCUGACAGGUUGCUCUGGCUCUGCAUCGCCGACGAUCUGUCGAUGUACCUCUCGAGCGCGUCUGCGGACACUUCCGCCCGGCGGGUAGGGCAGGUCUUGCUCGAAGAUUUGCUCGAGCAGGACGAGGCGCUCGCGGUCUUCGUCGAGCUUCAUCUUGAGCUCCCGCAGCUGCGCGAGCUGCGCGGUUCUGUCUUCCUGAGGAGGGGGGUCGACCUGUCCGUCGUUCCCAGGCGUCCUGGGGUCUUCUCGCGCCGCGGGGGCUCGACCACCUGCAGCAGCAUCCCGUGUCUCGUCAGUAGUUUCUACCGCCCCGUCGAUGUGAUAGCAUUCCCUCGUAGGGUCAUAGCUAUCUGUCUCGGAGUCGGAGUCCGGUUCGGCGGCGUAGAAACACCCACGUCCUUCCUCCAGCAAUCGUUGCCUGAGGGAGGUGAUCGAGUAUCGUCCGGGGCCUAGACGACGGAGGCCUUGUACUCGGGAAAGGUCCGGCAGCUCGGACGCCGGCCGCCGCGCUUCAGAGCUACGUGGGAGGACCAUUGGUCUUUCUACGUACGUCUGGGCGUUUGGGCAUAUCGCCUUGGCGAGCGACGCCGCGGCGUUGUCCAAUCCGAACGGCAGUGCCGCUCUUGGAGAGAACAACCCGUGUGGAAGUAGCCUAGCUGCGGUGGGGGAGAGCGCGCGAGACGCGUCCCCUCCCGUCGUUGCGCGGUGCUGAGUCGUCGCGCUUGUUGCUCCGUCACACGGUGCUGCCGACUUGUGGCCUACGUCCUGCCUCGCACGAGUUGUUGGUCGUGCUGAAGCAGAGGGGCCGCGGUGGUGCUGUCCGCGCCUCUUCUUAGGCGGGGAGGCGUGGUGGUGAGGGCGUCUCGGGGCCUUCAACCGUGCUGGCGUAACGUGGGCUCCUCCUGGUCCUUUGACUGAGAGCAAGAUCAUGUCGUAGCCGGAGCCCGUAGACAUGAACUCGAGACUCCCAAACCAAAUCACCGUGGAGCGUGGAAACGGCGAGGCAAGAGUAGCCAUCCGGAAAGGAGUGGGAAAUCGAUGAAAAACACGCAGGACCCCUACCUGGCGCGCCAACUGUCGGUGUUUUUCCCCCGGGGGGUCACACCAACGAGUAAAUUUGUAUGCGUGCUCCCUUUCCCGGAUGGUGAUGCAAGAAGACACAGAGAUUUAUCCUGGUUCGGGCAAGAGAAGGCCCUACGUCCAGCGGGGGGAGAGAGUUUGUAUUAUCUUGCACCUAAGUGCUUGUACAGGGGCGAAUACAAGCGUGGUAUGAAGUGUGGAGCUCUACUACAUAUGAGCGUGGUCUUGUGUCGUGAUCUGCUGUUCUAUUCCUGAGUCCCUCCUUUUAUAGUUCCAAGGAAGGGCCUAGGGUACAUGUAUAGGCGUAGGAAUUGGAGUCGAUAGCAGCAUGGAUCGCUGACCUACUCGAGGUUUCCGUACCGGCAUGCCCUCGAGCCGUCCCGUCUUAAUAGCCUGGUGAUGAUCACGCGUGCCCCUGCAUUCUGCUCUGCGCGCCGUCUUGGAUUGGUUCGGCGGGUGCACGCUUAUAUGGCUCGGCGGCAAAUCCGGCGGAGCGGUUACGGCGUGGUCAGUCGACGCCCGACUCGUCUCCAGGAAGGAGCCUGGUGAAGUCGAGGGUCGGACGCCGUACGAGGUGUCGAUAUCUGGAGCGCUGACCUUGGGUGUCUCGAGGGGAUCCCGAUUAGACGUUCCAUCCUUGUUUCCCGCGUCCUGACACGCCCUGGGUCGUUCGGUGGGAAGGCUGCAAAAAGAACGAUGGGACAGAAGCCUCCCGUGACCCGUGUGUUAGGUGGGGAAGCGUCAGGUGCAUUAAAUGCCCUGGCUCUCGUGCGCGCGUCAGGCGGCGGACAGUGUCCUUGCGCUCGACGCCACUCGGUUCGCUCGAGCCCGCUUCCGUAUUCGACGGCAGUUGUCGCUCGAGCCCUGACCGAUUCGCUCGACGCUAUUUCCGUCUUCGAGGCUGCGGCCGUCGAUGGCCGCGCGUGUGUACGGAUGGUCUCGUUAUACGCAUUGGUGAGGGUACCCCUCGUUGAUACCCUCGACAGUGUGUCAUAUGGAAUCUCGCUUCAGUCCAUUUGAAGAUAGUGCUAGUUCUAGUGCAAGAUAGGUGCACGGUUUGUGCCUAAUGCACCAUAGGCUAAGUAACCAUUUUGAACAAACCUAAUGGUACUCCUAGGUUUAGGGGCUUAAAUGGAAGCUCAGUUUGGUCUAUUUGGAGAUAUUGCUAAUCUUGAUGCAAGAUUGGUGCAUGGUUUGCAUGGAACGUACCAUAUGCUGAGAAAUCAAUUUGGAAACACCUGAUGGAACUCCAAGAUGACAUGUGUCAUGUGGAAUCUCGCUUUGGUCGAUUUGGAGACUAUUAGUUUUGGUGCAAGAUAGGUGCACAGUUUGCACCUAAUGCACUGAAAGCCCAAGUUUGGUUUUGGUAAUUAAUGACACCAAGUUGCUAAAUGCCUUAUGUUUAAGUGAUUUGAGUUAGGCAUAACAACACAUGUGAUGAAGGUGCAUGGUGGCAUGGAAAGGUGGCCACAUGAUCACAAAGGGAUGAAACAUGAAGUAAAGAUCAUGGUGACAGACGAGGAGCAAAGUUAUUAAGGUAAAGUUAUAAACAUAGGAUUUUACUUUUGCCGGUCUAAGAUGAGUAGAGAAGUAAUUGACCGAGUUUAGGAUAAAUAGUCGACUAUCAAGAGGGGAAAUCACGGUCAUCUUGAUGCAAGAUAGGUGCAUGGUUUGCAUGGAACGUAUCAUAUGCUCGAAAAUCAAUUUGGACGCACCUAAUGGAACUCCUAGAUGACAUGUGUCAUAUGGAAUCUCGCUUCGGUCCGUUUGAAGACACUGUUAGUUUUGGUGUAAGAUAGGUUCAUGGUUUGUGCCUAAUGCACCAUAGGCUCAGAAACGAUUUUGGACACACCGAUGAUACUCCUAGGUAAAGGGGCUCAAGUGUAAGCUCAGUCCGGUCUGUUAGGAGAUAGUGCUAAUCUUGAUGCAAGAUAGGUGCACGGUUUGCAUGGAAUGUACCAUAUGCUCAGAAAUCAAUUUGGAUGCACCCGUUGGAACUCCUAGAUGACGUGUGUCAUAGGAAAUCUUGCUUCGGUCCAUUUGGAGAUAGUGCUAAUUCCGGUGCAAGAUAGGUGCACGGUUUGCGCCUAAUACACCAUAGGCUAAGAAACCAUUUUGGACGCACCCGAUGGUACUCCUAGGUUAAAGGGCUCAAGUGAAAGCUCAGUUUGGUCAGUUUGGAGAUAGUGCUAAUCUUGAUGCAAGAUAGGUGUACAGUUUGCGUGGAACAUACCAUAUGCUGAGAAACUAAUUUGGACGCACCCGAUGGAACUUCUAGAUGACGUGUGUCAUAUAUAAUCUCGCUUCAGUCCAUUUGGAGAUAGUGUUAGUUUUAUGCAAGAUAGGUGCACGGUAUGCGCCUAAUGUACCAUAGGCUAAGAAACCAUUUUAGACACGCCCAAUGGUACUCCUAGGUGAAGGGGCUCAAAUGGAAGCUUAGUUUGGUCUGUUUGGAGGUAGUGCUAAUAUUGAUGAAAGAUAGGUGCAUGGUUUGCAUGGAAGAAACCAUAUGCUCGUAAAUCAAUUUGGGCUCACCCAAUGGAACUCCUAGAUGACGUGUGUCAUAUAGAAUCUCGCAUCGGUCUGUUUGGAGAGAGUGUUAGUUUCAGUGCAAGAUAGGUGCACGAUUUGUGCCUAAUACACCAUAGGCGACGAAACCACUUUGGACGCACCCGAUGGUACUCCUAGGUAAAGAGGCUCAAGUGGAAGCUUAGUUUGGUCUAUUUCGAUAUCGUGCUAAUCUUGAUCCAAGAUAGGAUGCUCGGUAUGCAUGGAACAUACCAUAUGCUCAUAAAUCAAUUUGGAUGCAACCGAUGGAACUCCUAGAUGAUGUGUGUCAUACGAAAUCUUGGUUCGGUCUAUUUGGGGAUAGUGUUAGUUUCGAUGCAAGAUAUGUGCAUGGUUUGUGCCUAAUGCACCAUAGGCUAAGAAACCAUUUUGGUCGCACCCAAUGGUACUCCUAUAUUAAAGGGCUCAAAUGGAAGCUCUGUUUGGUCUGUUUACAUAUCAUGCCAAUCUUGAUCUAAGAUAGGAUGCACAGUUUGUGUGGAACGUACCAUAUGCUUAAAAAUCAAUUUGGACACACAUAAUGGAACUUCUAGAUGACAUGUGUCAUAUGGAAUCUCGCUUCGGUCUAUUUGGAGAUAGUGUUAGUUUCGAUGCAGGAUAGGUGCACGGUUUGUGCCUAACGCACCAUAGGUUAAGAAACUAUUUUGGAUGCACCCGAUGGUACUCCUAGGUUAAAGGGCUCAAGUGGAAGCUCGGUUUGGUCUGUUCGGAGAUAGUGCUAAUCUUGAUGCAAGAUAGGUGCACAGUUUGUAUGGAGUGUACCAUAUGCUCGGAAAUCAUUUUGGACGCACCCAAUGGAACUCCUAGAUGAUGUGUGUCAUAUGGAACCUCGCUUCGAUCCAUUUUGAGAUAGUGUUAGUUUCGGUGCAAGAUAGGUGCAUGCUUUGUGCCUAAUGCACCAUAGGCUAAGAAACCAUUUUGGACACACCCAAUGGUACUCCUAGGUGAAGUGGCUGAAAUGGAAGCUCAGUUUGGUCUGUUUGGAGAUAGUGCUAAUCUUGAUGCAAGAUAGGUGCAUGGUUUGCAUGGAACAUACCAUAUGCUCAGACAUCAAUUUGGGCUCACCCGAUGGAACUCCAAGAUGACGUGUGUCAUAUAGAAUCUCACUUCGGUCUGUUUGGAGAGAGUGUUAGUUUCGGUGCAAGAUAGGUGCACGUUUGUGCCUAGGUGACGAAACCACUUUGGACACACCCAAUGGUACUCCUAGGUAGAGGGGCUCAAGUGGAAGCUUGGUUUGGUGUUUGGAGAUCGUGCUAUUCUUGAUCCAAGAUAGGAUGCACGCUUUGCAUGGAACAUACCAUAUGCUUAGAAAUUAAUUUGGACGCACCCGAUAGAACUCCUAGAUGAUGUGUGUCAUAAGAAAUCUCGCUUCGGUCUGUUUCGAGAUAGUGUUAGUUUUGAUGCAAGAUAUGUGCACGGUUUGUGCCUAAUGCACCAUAGGCUAAGAAACCAUUUUUGGUCGCACCCGAUGGUACUCCUAGUUUAAAGGGUUCCAGUGGAACCUCUAUUGGUCUGUUCGGAGAUAGUGUUAAUCUUGAUGCAAGAUAGGUGCAAAGUUUGCGUGGAAUGUACCAUAUGCUCGGAAAUCAAUUUGGACACAACUGGGAAAUCAAUUUGGACGCACCCGAUGGAACUCCUAGAUGACAUGGGUCAUAUGGAAUCUCGCUUCGUUCUGAUUGGAGACAGUGUUAGUUUUGGUGCAAGAUAGGUGCAGAGUUUGCACCUAAUGCACUAUAGUCUAAGAAACCAUUUUAGAUGCACCAAUUGGUACUCCAAGUUGAAGAGGCUUAAGUGGAAGCUUGGUUCGGUCUAUUUAGAGAUAGUGCUAAAAAUGAUGCAAGAUAGGUGCACGGUUUGCAUGGAAUGUAUCAUAUGCUCGGAAAUCAAUUUGGACGCACCCAAUGGAACUGCUAGAUGACAUGUGUCAUAUGGAAUCUCGUUUCGGUCUAUUUGAAGAUAGUGUUAGUUUGAAUGUAAGAUUGGUGCCCAGUUUGCACCUAAUGCACUAUAGUCUAAGAACCUAUUUGGUCGCACCUGUUGAUACUCCAAGGUGAAUAGGCUCAAGUGGGAGCUCAGUUCGGUCUGUUUAGAGAUAGUGCUAAUCUUGAUCCAAGAUAGGAUGCACGGUUUGCAUGGAACGUACCAUAUGCUUAGAAAUCAAUUUGGAUGCACCCGAUAGGCCUCCUAGAUGAUGUGUGUCAUAAGAAAUCUCGCUUCGGUCUGUUUGGAGAUAAUGUUAGUUUCGAUGCAAGAUAUGUGCACGGUUUGUGCCUAAUGCACCAUAGGCUAAGAAACCAUUUUUGGUCGCACCUAAUGGUACUCCUAGCUUAAAGGGCUCAAGUGGAAGCUCUGUUUGGUCUGUUCGGAGAUAGUGUUAAUAUUGAUGCAAGAUAGGUGCAUAGUUUGCGUGGAAUGUACCAUAUGCUCGGAAAUCAAUUUGGACACACCUGACGGAACUCCUAGAUGACAUGUUUCAUAUGUAAUCUUGCUUUGGUCCGUUUGGAGACUGUUAGUUUCGGUGCAAGAUAGGUGCAUGGUUUGCGCCUAAUGUACCAUGGGCUCAGAAACUAUUGUGGAAGCACCCGAUGAUACUCCUAGGUGAAGAGGCUCAAAUGGAAGCUCGGUUCGGUCGGUUUGGAAAUAGUGCUAAUCUUGAUGCAAGAUAGGUGCACGGUUUGCAUGGAAAGUAUCAUAUGCUUGUUAAUCAAUUUGGACACACCCAAUAAAACUCUUAGAUGAUGUGUGUCAUAUGGAGUCUUCAAUCUAUUUAGAGACAAUAUUAGUUUCAUUGUAAUAAAGGUGCACAACACGGUUUGCACGGAAUGAACCAUAGGCUCAAAAACCAUUUUGGACACACCUGAGGGUACUCCUAGGUCAAGAGGCUCAAGUGGGAGCUCAGUUUGGUUCGUUUAGAGAUAGUGCUAAUCUUUAUGUAACAUAGGUGCACGGUUUGCAUGGAACGUACGAUAUGCUUAAGAAAUCAAUUUGGACGCACCCAAUAGAACUCUUGGAGAUAGUGUGUCAUAUGGAAUCUCCCUUCGGUCCAUUUGGAGAUAGUGUUAGUGUUGGUGCAAGAUAGGUGUACGAUUUGAGCCUAAUGCACCAUAUGCUAAGAAACCAUUUUGGACGCACCCGAUGGUACUCCUAGGAGAAGAGGCUCAAAUGGAAGCUCGAUUUGCUCUAUUUGGGGAUAGUGCUAAUCUUGAUGCAAGAUAGGUGCACGGUUUACGUGGAAAAUACCAUAUGCUUAGAAAUCAAUUUGGAAAGUCCCAGAUGAUGUGUGUCAAAUGGGACCUCACUUUGGUUCAUUUGGACAUAGUGUUAGUUUUGGUGCAAGAUAGGUGCACGGCUUGCGCCUAAUUGACCAUAGUCUAAUAAACUAUUUUGGACCCACAUGAUGGUCCUCCUAAGUGAAGAGGCCCAAGCGGAAGCUCAGUUUGGUCUAUCUGGACAUAGUGCUAAUCUUGAUGCAAGAUAGGAGCACGGUUUGCAUGGACAUAGAUUAUGCUCGGAAAUCAAAUUGGAUGCACCCGAUGGAACUUGUAGAUGACAUGUGUGAAAGAGCAUCUAGGCCCCUAAUGAUUUCGGUGGUUAAUGACAAUGUUGAUUACUCUGACUAACGUGUGUUUUGCAGAGGCAAAGUCAUUAGUGAGGUCAGUGUAAUUGGUACUCGAUGAACAGGGACGUACAUGCCUACUUAAUAGUGGAAAUCGUUUCGGUUUUCAAAGGAUGGAUGGACAUCGUCAAGACUAGACUAGGUCUAAGUGCCAUAUGGUGAAGAAGGGCACUUACAGUAGUUUAGGACUUUGUUUUCCUUUGACCGUACUAUUAAGAGGGGCUUUGAUCUAGUAGCUUGACUUAGGCAAGGCUUUAGGUUUAGGUGUGGUGCACACUUGGUAAACCUAGCACUAGGCAGCUUAGAGAUAGUCCUUAGAUCGAGAGGAACCAACUUUGUUUUGGAACGGUCGCGUUUCGACAAAGUUAGGGUGCCUAAGUAGGCACCGAACGCUGCACCGAACGCUCUGUGAGUGCGUCCGGUGAGGUUCUUUAGCCGUUGGAGGGUUUGGUGCCUAGGGUUAGGCACCGGACGCUAGCACCGGACUCAUCGGGUAGCGUCCGGUCCAACACACAGAGAGUAUGUAAACUCUCCUCUAGCACCGGACGCUAGCACCGGACGCACUGGGUAGCGUCCGGUCUUAAACUCAGGGAGUUUGUAAAACUCCACGGAGCACCGGACGGUGCCACCGGAUGCUGGGAAGUAGCGUCCGGUGACCUGUCAGUGGCAGUACAGUUAGCCAUUGAAGUGUCACCGGACGCUCGAUGCAUAGCGUCCGGUGCAACAUCAACAGCGCCCCAUUUUUAGUGGAAAACAGUUGGCCGACCCUUGGACUUCGUGGGGUGUAUUUAUACUCCACCACCUCGUCCAUGAGAGCUCUCUUGCCCAUUUGAACAUCUGAGAAACUUGUUGUUUAGCAAGAGUGUAGAAAGAGCCUAGAGAGGAUUGAGAUUUGAGAGAUUUCUUGUGAGAAUCCUUCUCUAGUUGAAUUCCAAGAGUCAAGUGUGCAUCCACCACUCUCUAGUGCCUUGUUUGGGUCAAGUGAGAGUUCAUAGCUUGUUACUCUUGGUGAUCGCCAUCACCUAGACGGUUCAGUGGUGAUUGGAGGCACGAAGACCGCUCGGAUUUCUUGUGGCUGGCUCGUGUCAAGCUUGUGAGCGGUUUUGGGCGAUUCACCGUGACGGAGUGUCGAAGAAUCAGCGUGUAGAGAGCACUUGGUCCUUGCGCGGACCAAGGAGGAGCAAGACCCUUGCGCGGGUGCUCCAACGAGGACUAGUGGAGAGUGGCGACUCUCCGAUACCUCGGCAAAACAUCACCGAGCAUUUUCUUCCACUACUCCCUUUACUUUCUAGCAUUUACUUUGGGUUCUUACAUUCCUAAAAUUGCCAUGCUAGAAUAGGAUUGGAACUAGGUUGCAAAACUUUUAUCCGGUAGCUCUCUAGUCACACUAGGCACAAGGGGUUGAAUUGGAGCUUAUAGGUUGCUUCGUAAUCGUGCUUCAUCAAGGCGAUCUAUCCACCGCUACACCAACAUCCAUAUUGGGGAAGAUAAAUGCUCAUGAGAUGUAUAUGCACAUGAACGCCCAAGAUGGCUCCUCAUCGGCCAAGGAGAUGAAGGACUUGGCCCUCAAAGCUUCUCACAAAGGCAAAGCCAAGAAGAUUGAAGUUGAGUCAUCAACUUCAAGUGAUGAUGAUGCAUCCAUUGCCCUCUUGGUGAGAAGAACCACCAAGAUGUUGAAGAAGCUUAACAAGAAUGGAGUCAACUUUGACUCCAAGAAGUUCUUUACAAGUAGCAAGAGGAAGCCCAUCUCCGAGAUGGAUUGCUACAAUUGUGGGGAACUUGGUCAUCUUGCUCAUCAAUGUCCCAAGCCCAAGAAGGACAAGUACAAGAAGAAGAGCAAAGAGUAAGAUGAUUCAAGUGAUGAUGAGAAGAAAGGUGGCAAGAAGAAGGAAUACCACAAGAAGAAGAAUGGCAAGGCCUACAUUGUUGGUGAUUGGCUCACCGACAUUGAGAGCUCAAGUGGUGACUCCUCCAGAAAUGAGAGUGAUGAUGAGAAGGUUGCCGCCAUUGCUAUUGAUGCUUCAUCACCAUCAUCUUCACCACCAUCUACAUCCUCUACACACCUAUGCCUCAUGGCUAAAGGUGAUCGGAAGGUACAAAGUGAGGAUGAGAGUAGUGAGAGUGAUAGUGAAUAUGAAUCACCUUCUUAUGAUGAACUUGUAAAAUUGCUAAACAAAUACACAAAAGUCAUAAGAAAGACUAGAAGUGAAAGAAACUUGAACUUGAAAAUGAAUCACUACUAGCAAAGCUUAAAUCUAGUGAUGAGCUCAGAGACCAAAAUGAGAUCAUGACCACCAAACUCAAGGAGCUCAAACUCUCAUUAAAAGAGCUCAAAGAAAACAUGAUAAACUUGAGAGUGUUCAUGAUGAGCUUAUCACUAGAUAUAGAGCAAUGCAGGAAGAGCUAACAACUCUAAAAGUAAACUAUGACAACCUUGAGAUAGCUUAUGAUCUUGCAAUAAAUGAUACACAUGUUACUGUUAACCAUGUUGCUAAGCUUGAUGUAGCCACAUCUUGUCACGACUUACUUGUGGAGAGCACAAGCAAAUGUGUUGAUUGCAAGGGCAAGAAAGUGGUAGUGGCUAAGAGCUAUGAGGACACUAUCAAACUCAAGGAAGAAAUUGUCAUGCUCCAGAAAGAGUUGCAAGAGCAAGCCAAGCACAAAGCAAUUGUGAUUGAGUCACUUGAUCAAGACAAGAAGCUUGCAUAUGAGAACAAGUUGCUCAAAGAAGAGAAUCAAUAUCUCAAGCUUGGUUUGAUGUAUGACAAGCAAGAAGAAGAUGAGACAUCCAUCUUAGAUGAGUUAGCAAGCAACAAUGACCCAAUCAUCAAGAAGCUAACUCAAGAGAAUAGCAAGCUUAAGAAAGAGAAGGAACAUCUAACCAAGGGGUUAGCUAAGUUCACAAAAGGAAAGGACCUUCAAAGUGAGCUAUCAUGAACACCGUCAUGAAGAUGGACAAGAGUGGGAUUGGCUACAAGGCUCAUCAAACAAAGCUCAUCAAGUCACUAGCUACUCAUGAACAACCAAGCAAGCCAAAGCCAAAGAGAUGCUUUGAAUGUGGACAAGAAGGACACUUUGCUCAUGAGUGUGAGGCACCACUACCACCACCCUUGCCCAAGCAUGCUAGACCAUUUGCCUUCAAUACUCACUACAUUGUAAGGAAAGACAAGAGUGGCAAGGUCACGGUUAGCUUCAUGGUGCCGCCCAACAAGCAAAGGCCAAAGAAAAUUUGGGUGCCAAAGCAACUAGUAGAGAAGGUCAAGGGCCCUAAGCAAAUGUGGGUCCCUAAAUCUCAAGCUUGAUCUCUUGUGUGUAGGUGAACUACAAGAUCGGUAGAUCACAUUGGGUAAUUGAUAGUGGUUGCACUCAACAUAUGACCGGAGAUUCCCAGAUGUUCACCUCACUUGAUGAAGAUGUGGACAACCAAGAGAAGAUCACAUUUGGUGACAAUUAAAAAGGCAAGGUCAAGGUUCUAGGAAAGGUUGCAAUAUCAAAUGACAACUCCAUCACCAAUGUGCUCUAUGUGCAAUCUUUAAGUUUCAACUUGCUCUCGGUUGGACAACUUUGUGAUCUUGGUUUUGAAUGCUUAUUCAAGAAGAAGUAAGUAAUAGUGACCAAGGAGGAUGACAAUGAAAUGGUAUUCAAAGGCUUCCUACACAACAACUUAUAUGUAGUUGAUUUCUCAUCCGAUGAAGUUGAUGUCAAGACUUGCUUAUUCACCAAGACCUCACCUGGUUGGUUAUGGUAUAGAAGGUUAGCACAUGUUGGAAUGGGCACACUCAACAAGUUGAUGAAGAAAGAAUUGAUUAGAGGCUUGAAGGAUGUGACCUUUGAAAAGGACAAGCUUUGUAGUGCAUGUCAAGCCAGCAAGCAUGUUGCAAACACCCAUCCAACCAAGGCCUAUCUCUCUACUUCAAGAGUGCUUGAGCUACUCCACAUGGAUUUAUUUGGACCAACCACAUAUGCUAGUCUUGGAGGCAACAAAUAUUGCUUGGUCAUAGUUGAUGAUUAUUCCCGAUACACUAUGGUCUCAAGCAAGCUCCUAGAGCUUGGUAUGAGAGGCUUAGGGACUUCCUCAUUGAAAAGGGCUUCAAGAUUAGGAAAGUUGACACAACACUUUUCACCAAGAAAAUGAAUGGGGAAAUCUUCAUUUGCCAAGUUUAUGUUGAUGAUAUUAUUUUUGGCUCUACUAAUGAGGAUUUUUGCAAGGAAUUUGGUGAUUUGAUGUCCAAGGAGUUUGAGAUGUCCAUGAUUGGCGAGCUAUCCUUCUUCCUAGGUUUUGAAGUCAAGCAAAUGAGGGAAGGUGUCUUCAUCUCUCAAGAGAAGUACACACAAGAUCUUCUCAAUAGGUUCAAGAUGAUGGGUUGCAAGCCAAUCAAGACUCCCAUGGCAUCAAAUGGACAUCUCGACUUGGGUGAGGGAGGUAAUCCAAUUGACAAGACUCUCUAUUGCUCCAUGAUAGGAAGUCUACUCUACCUCACCGCAUCUAGGCCUGAUAUCAUGUUUAGUGUGUGUAUGUGUGCUAGAUAUCAAGCUAUGCCUAUGGAAUCUCACUAGAUUGCCGUCAAGAUAAUUCUUAGGUAUCUAAAAUACACACCUUGCCUAGGCUUGUGGUAUCCCAAAGGUGCAAGAUUCCAACUUGUAGGCUAUUCCGAUUCGGAUGAUGCCGGGUGCCGGAUUGAUAGAAAAAGCACAUCCAGAGGGUGCCAGUUCCUAGGUAGAUCACUUGUCUCUUGGAUGUCAAAGAAACAAAAUAGUGUUGCCUUGUCCACGGCCGAGGCGGAAUACAUUGCCACCGGUGCUUGUUGUGCACAAAUACUUUACAUGAAACAAACUUUGCUUGACUAUGGAGUAGUACUAGACAAAGUACCUUUGUUGUGUGACAAUGAAAGUGCCGUAAAACUUGCUAACAACCCGGUUCAACACACCCGCACAAAACACAUUGACAUCUGUCACCACUUCCUUAGGGAUCAUGUUGCUAAAGGUGACAUAUCUCUAGAGAAUGUGGGAACAGAAAAUCAAUUGGUGGAUAUCUUCACAAAACCCCUAGAUGAAGCUAGGUUUUGUUUGUUGAGAAAUGAACUUAAUGUGCUUGAUCUCUCUAACUUUACUAAAAAAUGAAGUUGUGUGUUGACCUUGUAAAUAGCUUUUGUUUUGCAUAUCAUGCAUACUAAAACUAAAAUACAAAAAAUUGUGUGUAGGGCUUGUCUAACAUGGUUAAGAUAACCCCCUUGUGUGUGUGAAAAAGCUUAACCUUGGAUCAAACUUGACAAGCAUUAGUUUACUUUCAAGUAUUGCAUUUCAUCUCAUAUCAUAUGCAUGCCUGUUAGUUGACCGUUUCUUUUUUGUUAUGCUUUGAGCAUCCGCUGUGUUCGGCCAUAGAUAGGGGGAGCAUUCAAAGCUCAUUAUGAUUUAAACCCCUAGCUUUAUGGCCACACAAUGUUCCUCGAUGCUUUCACUUGUCUAUUUUCAUAAAAACUACAAUGCCUAAGGCUAAAUAUUUGUGAAAACUUGAGAGUUUGAGAGAGGUCACUCAUACCAGUUCCAAUUGGUGUUUAUUUGAGUCUUCUUAAAGUUGGAACUUGGUUGGGUAAAAGUUAGGCGAUGUUCGAAGUUGAAAAACUGCUCAGGAGUGCACCGGACGCUGCUGUGGUGCGACCAGUGUGGUGAGCCUGCUAGAAAGCACUCACCAGACGCAGGAACAGUGUCCCUGUUGCGUCUGGUGAGGUGCGUCUGGUGCUCAGCCAGGCAUGCCCUAGGGCACCGGACGCUAAGGCCAGUGUCCGGUGGCCAUCGUCCGGUGAUCAGGUCAUCUACGGAGCUCUCUGUGUUUAAGUCUGUUGGUCACCGGACGUGUCCGGUGCCACAUAAAGAGCGUUCGGUGACCCCGCGGACAGCCCAUAUAAUCCGCGCCCUGGAGGUUUGGCUCGGCAGUUUCUUUUCUUCCCUACGACCGCGCCGUGCCCUAGACGCCGAGAAGAUCGCCGCCGCCGUUGAGUUCUUUGGUUUUUCUCCGGCGGACUCCUUCUCCCUCGUGCAGAUCUCGUCCCCGAAGCUCCCUCUUUCCUCCCUGUGUAGAGAUUCCCUCCUCUCGCGUGAGUUCAAGGGUUUGGGGUGAGUUCUCUUAACUGCGCCCUCAAGUUGUUUGAUUAUAUGUGUCAAUGGAUUAGGAUGAGGUUUUUGAUCUCGAUCUGGUCCGUCUCAUCUGUGCAGCACCUUGAGGAGUCGAUUCGUGUUCUCCAGUGGAUUUUGAUCGUAAUCUUUCGUCCGGAACGCAUCUCAUCUUUGGAUUGUAAGCCGUUCGUGCCCGUUCCUUAUCAGUUCUUGUGAUCUGUAGGGUUAUCUCAUCUCUAGUUAUUAUGUUUUCUUAUGUAUACCCUAUCUAUUCCAUCUCUUGCAGCGCAUUGAUCUCUCUUGGCAGCUUGUCAGUUGCUCAGUUGUUGGCAGUCGUUCAGAGGCAGUUCUCAUGCAAUGGCACGUUGCAAGAAUGUCAGUGGUCCGGCAACUAGCUCUGGUGGUUCUCCAGGAGGUGAUGGUGAGGAGGUGAUCCUCCCCGUCGUCUCUCAGUGGUAGAGAAGCGCAAAGGCAAGAAACUGGCCACCAAGAAGAGGAAGGCCAGUGACAGAGAGGCUGAGGUGGUCGAGGCAGUUGCAGCAGUAGCUGAGGCAGCAGAGAGGGGUGGACGCUCAGGUGCCCUGAGGAUUGGGGCUGAUCUCACGCCACGUCAGAGGCGUGCAGUUCUUGAGGUUGAGCAGUGACACGGGACUCCACUUGGCACUAUCAUGCUAGGAGGUCAGUGUGUUAGGAUUGUAGUUAGAGAGCCAGCUCAGGAGGACCCGAAGACUGAGAUAGAGGCAGAGGCCCAGGCAGAGGGCCCGACGGAGGGACAGCAGCAGGAGCAGCACCUCAGGAGGUCGAAUCACACUCGUACUCAGGCCAUCCCUAGGACUGGUAUGCAGGGUCAGUCCACCUCCUCUGCUCGCUCCACUCCGGCACGUGGUACUCCAGCUCCACGUCCAGCGCCAGUAAGGAUUCAUAAGGAUUACACCUAGGCCUCCACUCGAGAUAUCUAGGAGCUGCGUUUUGUUCCUUUACCUACUUGGUUUCCAGCUGCCAAGGAUCCACGAGCCAGUGCCAGAUUCUAUACAGUGGUUCAGGAGGAUCUGUACGACGCUUUUGUCUGUUCAACGACUCAGUUUAGGGAGCACAGGGUGCUUGACCUUGAGGUGCUUGGGAACAUGGUCGGUGCAGACAUCAGGCAGUAUUUCACUUAUCUGACCGGUCUCCUAGAGUUGCUUGCUCUACUGGGCACCUAUUGUGAGGAGUGGGUCAGAGAGUUCUAUGCCUUAGUGUGGGUUUCUCUAGAUCAUAGCUACAUCCACUACGCACUGGCAGGCACAGACUACAGAGUGACAGCUCGGAGGGCUAGAGAGGUGCUUGGUUUGACUGCUUCUCCUACCAGGAUCCACCAACUUUACUACGGGAACUUCGAGCCCCCCUCGACGUCCUCACGGUGGUGCUCUACCAUUGGUUGACUUUGUGGCUCCCUGUUUCCGUCAGCCCUUUGGAGAGGGCUCCAACAAGACAGUGGGUGACCUGACACGACCAGCCAGGAUCCUUGACUUCGUGUUGAGGAAGACACUCUUUCCCAGGUCCGGCUACAGAGACGGCUUCACCAGGAUUCAGCAGUGGUUGGUAGCCCACCUGAUCUCGAAGACACCUUUUGAUUUGUGGGAUUUGAUAGUUUCAAAGAUUGAGGACACUAUUUUAGAGAGUUUCAGGGGUCGUCGUCAGUUGUCGUACGCACACAGGAUCACAUUGCUUAUACUUUGUGCUAGGCCAGAGCCUCUUCUAGCUCACCUGUAGAGAGAGCUCACAGACUGCUUCAGAGCCCACAGAGCCAACCCAGACCGCUUCUCCAGCACGUGCAGCUUUAGUGGGUCACUCUACCUCCUCCGAGUCAGACGACGCAACUCAGUUUCAGGCCAUGUCGAGGGACUCCACUGCUCCGCCUCCACCUCUGUCAUCUUAGGUUUUUGGCACUUGAUGCCAAAGGGCGACAGAGUGAGAGUAUGACAGUUAGGGGGAGCUAGGGCUAGCUAGUGAGGGCUCUUGAUUUUUUUGUGUGCUACUCCAUGCAUUAUGUUUACGUUUAUGCAUUGCAUUUGUGUGAUAUACUCUUCUGAGGUACACUUAUGGUUGUGCUUAUGGUUGUGAGACAUGACUUUAUGCUUAUCUGUUAUAUGUUUAUGUCAUGUGUUUGGCUCAUAUUACUUUGCUUCCGCGUCUUUACUCCUAUGUACUAUGAGCCAUAUGUUUUUAUAUCCUAUUGUAUACAUCUCACAUAUUUGGAUGCAGGGUGGUAGACUUGGUUGAUAUAAGCAAGCCUAAUCCCUUUGCUCUUAUUGUAUCAUGCUUAUAAAAACCAAGUCAUUUGAAAACUUCAUUUUCCUUCAUACUUGAGGUUAUUGUCAUCAAUCACCAAAAAGGGGGAGAUUGAAAGAGCAUCUAGGCCCCUAAUGAUUUCGGUGAUUAAUGACAAUGUUGAUUACUGUGACUAACGUGUGUUUUGCAGAGGCAAAGUCAUUAGUGAGGUCAUGGUAAUAGGUACUCGAUGAACAGGGACGUACAUGCCUACUUAAUUGUGGAAAUCGUUUCGGUUUUCAAAGGAUGGAUGGACAUCGUCAAGACUAGACUAGGUCUAAGUGCCAUAUGGUGAAGAAGGGCACUUAGAGUAGUUUAGGACUUUGUUUUCCUUUGACCAUACUAUUAAGAGGGGCUUUGAUCUAGUAGCUUGACUUAGGCAAGGAUUUAGGUUUAGGUGUGGUGCACACUUGGUAAACCUAGCAUUAGGCAGCUUAGAGAUAGUCCUUAGAUCGAGAGGAACCAACUUUGUUUUGGAACGGUCGCGUUUCGAUGAAGUUAGGUUGCCUAAGUAGGCACCAAACGCUGCACCGGACGCUCUGUGAGUGCGUCCUGUGAGGUCCUUUCGCCGUUAGAGGGUUUGGUGCCUAGGGUUAGGCAUCGGACGCUAGCACCGGACUCACCGGGUAGCGUCCGGUCCCACACCCAGAGAGUUUGUAAACCGGACGCUAGCACCGGACGCACCGGGUAGCUUCCGGUCUUAAACUCAGGGAGUUUGUAAAACUACCCGGAGCAUCGGACGGUGCCAUCGGACGGUGGGAAGUAGCAUCCGGUGACCUGUCAGAGGCAGUACAGUUAGUCAUUGAAGUGUCACCGGACGCUCGGUGCAGAGCGUCCGGUGCAACAUCAACAGCAUCCGGUGACCCCAUUUUCAGUGGAAAACAGUUGGCCGACCCUUGGACUUCGUGGGGUGUAUUUAUACUCCUCCACCUCAUCCAUAAGAGCUCUCUUGCCCAUUUGAACAUCUGAGAAACUUGUUGUGGAGCAAGAGAGUAGCAAGAGCCUAGAGAGGAUUGAGAUUUGAGAGAUUUCUUGUGAGAAUCCUUCUCUAGUUGAAUUCCAAGAGUCAAGUGUGCAUCCACCACUCUCUAGUGUCUUGUUUGGGUCAAGUGAGAGUUCAUUGCUUGUUACUCUUGGUGAUCGCCAUCACCUAGAUGGUUCGGUGGUGAUUGGAGGCACGAAGACCACCCGGAGUUCUUGUGGGUGGCUCGUGUCAAGCUUUUGAGCGGUUUUGGGCGAUUCACCAUGACGAAGUGUCGAAGAAUUAGCCUGUAGAGAGCACUUAAUCCUUGCGCGGACCAAGGGGGAGCAAGACCCUUGUGCGGGUGCUCCAACAAGGACUAGUGGAGAGUGGCGACUCUCCGAUACCUCGGCAAAACAUCGCCGAGCAUUUUCUUCCACUACUCUCUUUACUUUCUAGCAUUUACUUUGAGUUCUUACAUUCCUAGAAUUGCCAUGCUAGAAUAGGAUUGGAACUAGGUUGCAAAACUUUUAUCAGGUAGCUCUCUAGUCACACUAGGCACAAGGGGUUGAAUUGGAGCUUAUAGGUUGCUUAAAUUUUUAGAGAAGCCCAAUUCACCCCCCUCUUGGGUAUCUUGAUCCUUUCAAUGUGUCAUAUGGAAUCUCACUUCGGUCCGUUUGGAGACAGUGUUAGUUUCUGUGCAAGAUAUGUGCAUGGUUUCCACGUAAUGCACCAUAGGCUAAGAACCAUUUUGGACACACCUAAUGUUACUCCUAGGUAAAGGGGCUCAAGUGGAAGCUGUCACGGAACCGUCCAAAUUAUAAGAGCACAAGUACAAAAACAAUCACCGAAGCGAUCAAUUUACCAUACUUGAGCCCAUAUAACUCCGGUAGUCCAACAAAAUCACGAGGGAUUUCAAACCAACCAACAUACAAGCCAAGAUCGUAGUGAUUCAACAUAACAAGUCACAUGUUACAUGCAUUUCACAAGUAGUUCAAAUAUAUCGGAGUUCGAUAAGGUUAUUACAACUCAGGUUUACAAAUAGCGGAAGCAAAGUAAUUUGAAACCAAUAUCACUUUUAUUUCAAAUACAUGCCAGUACCAUGGUCCAUUCCAACAAAAGCAUCAUAGAUGAGGUAAGUAGGAAGGAUCAUGCCCAUGAUCUUACUCCUUCCCUAAAGCAGGAGUCAUCCAAAUCUUGCAGUAGCUAUGAUACAUCACAACCUGCAACAAGUGGGAAUAAACCCUGAGUACGAGAAUGUACUCAGCUAGACUUACCCGUCAUAAACCAGAAAUAAAUGACACCAAGGAGUAUGCAAGGCUGAUAUAUAAGUGGAGCUUGUUGGACAACAUUUUGCAUAAAAAGCUUAAGUAUAAAUAGUUAAACCUUUCUUAUUUAGCAUCCAUUUAAUUCUCAUUAACCUAUCAACUAGAUUAGCACCUGUACUAUAGCAAUCACUUGAUUAAUAUCAAUCAAUAAUAACCAUAUCAGGUUUAUCAAGGCCGUGAUCAUCAUCAUCAUCAUAGAACCAUUAAGUUAUUUAGUGAAUGCUACAUUUGCCGCUGCUCUGUCAAGUUCUCACUAUCCGGGAGAGACGGCGAUUCGAAUCGAUUCCUAUCCAGCUGGAGGGUUAUUCCUAACACUCACCCAUGCUUCCCCCGUCGGAGAGCAAGUGGGUCACCUUUGGUACGACUCAGGAAUCGCGGCUCCGAUCAGCGCCGCACUCCCAGGGCUACCACUCUGCCAGGGAGGUCAGGAAUUUUAACUCACCUGCCUUUGGGCUUACGCCAAUGGUCCCCCGCACACCGCACUUCCUCCGGUAGUGCGCACUUUAUACUUGCCGGUCUUCCGGCCUGAGUCAUACUACUCGGCUUCGCGGUCGGAACGAGUUAUCCGGCCAACUAAGUGUUAGGCAUGCGUUCAACAUGACAAGAGGACGUACAACGAUCAGUCCUUAAUUGACACAGACGGGGAUAGAUCCACACCCAAGACCUCCAUGCCUUGUUGUUUCACUAUCAUCAUCCCGCCCGGUCUCCUUUCAUAUUAUUAACACAUGGUUCUUUUCCACGAUAGCAAAUAUAGCCAACCAUGAUCUGGAAUCCACCUAUAUCCUGCAGGUGACAGGAAAUCACCUGGCUUCUACCGAGCUAAGCAUGGCUAAGCAGAGACGUGAUCCUAACUAAUUAGGAUUCAGGUUAUAUAUAUACUGGACAAGGAAGGGUAUAUAUAUGCAGCAAGGGUUUCAUCCAACUCCUAUACUUAAUGCAACAAUACAUAUAUAACAAAUAUAUACUCAUUCACUUUCAAAAAGUAGGAGGCUUAUAAUGCUCCGGGGCUUGCCUGGAAUGUGACACCGAGGCAAAUUAGUUAGCUUGCUCCGUCUUGGUGACAUCUAAGAUCAUAACACUUGCUUAAUCAAUCCAUCUUCACGAUGAUCCACCAUCACGUCCUUCACGUGGCUCAUCUAGCGUACCUAAAUGAGAUGCAAGAUGCAAGUGCAUGAACACAUGUUCAUAGGAUCACAUAACACUAAUUGACACCACCAAGACAUGAGUCACUUAAAACCACACACAAUGUAAGUUAAUCAAGCAUUGAUGCAAUCCUAGCAAUUCUGGACAUACACGCAACAGUUGAGUAAAUAAAUCAUAACCAGAGUUCUACAGAUCCAAAAUUCAUGCAACAAGACAUUAUGGAAAUCUUAUAAAAUUGUAUACAAUUCAUAUUUAAUCAUCUUAGCAUGAUUAGUUAGUUAACUAAGUCAAACAUGCAUAUUUACAGAAUCUGGUCCAGGAAUUCCAGAGAACAAGCAUUUUGACAGAUAAACUUAAUACCCUUAUAACUCACAAACCAUUUGUCCAAAUGAUAUGAAACUCUAACAAAAGCUAGAUGAAAGAGUUAUCUACAACUUUUGUAUAGACAAGUUUCACAGCAAACAUAAUUUAUACUAUGGAAUUAGUUGCACAAUUAAAACUGCUCAUGUUGUCCCCAAACAGUAGGGUACAAAUAAAGACAGAAAACUGAUAGGCACUUCAAGCAAGCAUAACUGGAGUUACACAACUCCACAAGACAUGCAAGAAGACAUUCUGGAAAGAUUAAUAAAUUAUCUAUAUUUCAUCUUUAGACAUCAAAACAUGAUUCUCAACUUAAGCUGCUCGAAAUUAUAAAGUUCCAGAAUCUGUCCCUGACAAACAGAGAGCAGCCAUUUCUGGAAUCCAACUUUGAACAGACAUAACUCACAAACCACAAGGCCAAAUACUACCAAAUUUUAACAGCAGCCAGAUAGUUGAAUUAUCUACAACUUUGCUAUAAACAAUAUUCCCAGAAAACACCAUUUACAUAUUGUAAUCCAAACAGUUCCACAAACUGUCCAGAAACCAUCAAUUGCAAACAAUUAAUUAUUAACUUAUGUUUCAAACAUGCAUUUGAGCAAAACCAUUGUUACCAACAGUUUGCACAUAUCUAAAGAACACCAGAAAAUAUAGUGGUCAUUACCAAAUAAAUUUAUUUAAUGCAUUUCUUAAUUUAUUUGUAUAAUAAGGUGAAUUAAAGAACAUAUACAAAAAGUACACAGUAAAUACCACCAAAAUUACAGUAGCCUCUACAUACUAUAAAUAGACUUUUAUACAAAUUUUAUUGUAUUUUAACAAACAUAGCAGUCUCUAUGAAAAAGACAAAUUGCUAUUGCAAUUAACCAUGUGAGAGAAAGAUAAAUCUAAAACUCACAUUUUCUUCAAACACAUGACCAUAAUAUAUAUCAACAUGAUACAACAAUAUCACAGAAUGGUAGUGGAACAACAUUUUCCAUUUUUAUAUUUUAAUUUACAAUUAUAAACCAUUUAUCAAGAUCUAUAAAGACAUCUCUGUCCAAAAUAUGGACAUAAUCUAUCAUGUCACAUUAAACAGCCAUAACUUGAGUUUCAUAUGCCCAUAAAUUAUGGUUAUGUACUUUCUAGAAAGCUUACUAAAUUGUGAACAACUUUGUUAUUGACAUCUAGAGCUAAAUCUACAACCAACAAGGUCUUACAUAACAAACAAUGCACUCCUGUCUGGGUUUAGACAGAAACUGAAAUAGUACUUUAAACUACUAUAACUAAAGAUAUGCUUAACCAAAAAUUAUGCUAUUUAGCUUGAUGGAAAGCUUAUGAAAAGUACCACAACUCAUAUAUUUUCAUCCAGGCAUGAUUCACAACCAAACUGAGUCAAACAAUAUAAACAUGCAGAUCCACUCAGAAUAGGAGCAAAGCAACACAGGGAAUUUGUUAUUUUUAUAACUGUUAAUCUGUCAUUCCUAAAUUCAUGAAAAUUUUACCAGACAUGAAACAUCAUAUGAGAAGCUUGUCACAAUAUUUUCACAUUUAUUUGAGCAAUAAUACAGUGGUUAUGAAAAAGACAAAUAUAAUAAGCAAUUAAAACCGAACUGCAUAAAUUUAUUUUUACUGCUAAAACUGCAAACUGAACCAUGUCAUAUUAUAGAUCUACUGCAUAGAGAAUUUCAAAAGGAUUCCAAAAAGUCCACAUUUGCUAUUUUACGACUUUUCUGCGAAUUUCUAUGCAUUUACAAAGUUCAUCCAGAAAUCUGUAAAAACAAAGGAAAAAAAAGGAAAACAGAUCUUUCAACGGGGACCCUGGACUUUCCACGAAUCACGCAACCGACCACAAACACUAUUCAUAUGAGUCAUGAGUUCUGCAGAAAACCCCCUGGAUCUUGUCGAAUUUGUCCCCGUGGUCCUUGGUCGCGACGAAAACAGAGGAGCUCGCCGGAGCUCCCUGUUCCGGCCGGCUGAGGCCUCGUCGGCGGCAAUGGAGGGGUGGGGAAGCAUGAGGGGGCUUGCGCGCACUCGAGGGUGGUCUCGGAAGGUCGGGAGAGGGCCCGAGGCGGCCCGGCCACGCGCGUGCAUUGACGGUGAUGGCGGCGGUGGUGCUCCGGCGGUCUCAGCGGCGGACAGAGAUGGCGAGUGCGAGCACGAGGCAUAGAAGAUAGAGGCGGAGCUCAUGGUGGUGCUCGCUGGGAGCGAGAAGGCGCGGAACCGCGAGAAUGGGGACGGCGUCGAGCUCAGCCCGCCGGCCAUGGUGGACGCGGCGGCGUUCCCGCAGUAGGGCGCAGUAGAGCGCGAGCGAGUGCGAGUGAGGACGCCAAGGAGGAGUGGGGAGCUCGCCAUCCACUCUGGAGGGUAGGAGCACGCGUCGGAGUGGAGCAGGGAGCUGGGCACGCGGUGUCUGUGCAUGGUCGCCACGCACCAACGACGUGUCCGCCCGUUGACACAUUCCACCGAGCACGUGGCGGGUGACCGUGUGGCCGAAGUGGGAAGCCGAUUUGGGCCGGAUCUGGACCGAAUUUGGACAUGGACCAAAAACGAAGUUUUCUCUACUCUUGACACUCUCCAACUUUGAUUAAGGUGCCAUGGUCAUUAGAGUUGUAGAUUAGUAGAUAAUUUGAUGCCAACCUUUGAGUGUCAAUGAAUUGAUAAAGAUUAGCAAAACUCAAAAUUGAUGACCAAAACGAAGUCAAAAUGGUGUCAUCUUUUGGCAUGCUCUUGUACACAAUAUGUACUCCAACUUUUAUUUUGGGACCCAAGCAAGUUGUUCAUAAGAAUUAGGAGAACGCGGGAUGCCAACAUGACGAACUGAAAUUCCACACUUAGAAAUCCGAAAUGCUGGAAUUUACAGCAGAUUCGAACUUGUGCCUAUUAUUUGACAGGAUUAGAAGAUGAUUCAGACUUGGGCACUUUAACAAAGUUUGUAGCAUAAAAACUAUACUACAACUUUUAUUAAAGGACCUUGUACUGUUUAUGCCUGGUUAGUAAGAUACAAAGCUCCCAACUAGGAUACCCGAAACUGAGCACCUUGAGGACUUAGCCAAAUUUCUGGGGUUCCAAAACAGCACUGCAUUGAAUCUUGUGAGCUCAAUUUGACUAGGAUAGGUACCAAACUAGCUCUUGACCAUUAAAUAAAGUUUGUUCUACAGAAGCAAAACUAUAACUUUUAUUUAAGGUCAAUCCUCAUAACUGGUACCAAAGUCAAACUUUCACUUUGGUCAAAGUAUCAACUUGAUAAAGCUCAAACUAGGAUUUUAGAGCAAAUAAAGCAUUUUCUUGGCACAAGCUCAACAUGAACCCUUCAUGACUUUUGUUGUAGAGUUCAUCUAGAGUCAUUUGGUCAAGAUUACAAGGUUAGGUUGGUAACCUAAGGUUCCGUUCACUUGAUAAGGUCCUUCCAACAAGCAUGUAACUUAUCCUUUCAUUUGACCUUUUGAAUCCAAACUCCAUGAAACUUUUGAGUGAUCAACCUAGGUAGAGAUGGAGAUGAUACACAUGAAAGAAGCACCAUCAACAACCACAAGCUUUAUUAUGUAGGAUCAUCAAGCAUUCACUCGUCGGAAUCAUCAAAGUAUGUUUCAUACUAUCAUAUAUGAACAAUUGAUGCUUAUGCUCAUGAAAUGUGAGUGCCAAAAUGCAAGACAAACACCUGGGGUGUUACAGAAGCUUGGUUUGAUCUGUUUUGAGAUAGUGCUAAUCUUGAUGCAAGAUAGGUGCAGGUUUGCAUGGAACGUAACACAUGCUCAAAAAUCAAUUUGGACGCAGCCGAUGGAACUCCUAGAUGAUGUGUGUCAUAUGAAAUCUUGCUUCGGUCUAUUUGGAGAUAGUGUUAGUUUCGAUGCAAGAUAUGUGCACGGUUUGUGCCUAAUGCACCAUAAGCUAAGAAACCAUUUUGGUCGCACCCAAUGGUACUCCUAGGUUAAAGGGCUCAAGUGGAAGCUCUGUUUGGUCUGUUUACAGAUCGUGCCAAUCUAGAUCUAAGAUAGGAUGCACAGUUUGCGUCGAACGUACCAUAUGCUCAAAAAUAAAUUUGGACGCACAUGAUGGAACUCCUUGAUGACAUGUGUCAUAUGGAAUCUCGCUUCGAUCUAUUCGGAGAUAUUUUUAGUUUCGAUGCAACAUAGGUGCACGGUUUGUGCCUAAUGCACCAUAGGCUAAGAAAACAUUUUGGAUGCACCCAAUGGUAUUCCUAGGCUAAAAGGCUCAAGUGCAAGCUCGGUUUGGUCUGUUCGGAGAUAGUGCUUAUUUUGAUGCAAGAUAGGUGCACAGUUUGUAUGGAAUGUACCAUAUGGUCGGAAAUCAAUUUGGACGCACCCAAUGGAACUCCUAGAUGAUGUGUGUCAUAUGGAAUCUCGCUUCGGUCCAUUUUGAGAUAGUGUAAGUUUCGGUGCAAGACAGGUGCACGGUUUGCACCUAAUGCACCAUAGGCUAAGAUACCAUUUUGGACACACCAAUGGUACUCCUAGGUGAAGGGGCUCAAAUGGAAGCUCAGUUUGGUCUGUUUGGAGAUAGUGCUAAUCUUGAUGCAAGAUAGGUGCAUGGUUUGCAUGGAAUAUACCAUAUGCUCAGACAUCAAUUUGGACUCACCUGAUGGAACUCCUAGAUGACGUGUGUCAUAUAGAAUCUUGCUUCGGUCUGUUUGGAGAGAGUUUUAGUUUUGGUGCAAGAUAGGUGCAUGAUUUGUGCCUAGUGCACCAUGGGUGACGAAACCACCUUGGACACACCCAAUGGUAGUCCUAGGUAAAGGGGCUCAAGUGGAAGCUUGGUUUGCUCUGUUUGGAGAUCGUGCUAUUCUUGAUCCAAGAUAGGAAGCACGGUUUGCAUGGAACAUACCAUAUACUUAGAAAUCAAUUUGGACACACCCGAUAGAACUCCUAGAUGAUGUGUGUCAUAAGAAUACUUGCUUCGUUCUGUUUGGAGAUAGUGUUAGUUUCGAUGCAAGAUAUGUGCUCGGUUUGUGCUUAAUGCACCAUAGGCUAAGGAACCAUUUUUGGUCACACCCGAUGGUACUCCUAGUUUAAAGGGCUCAAGUGGAAGCUCUGUUUGGUCUGUUCGGAGAUAGUGUUAAUCUUGAUGCAACAUAGGUGCAUAGUUUGCGUGGAACAUACCAUAUGCUCGGAAAUCAAUUUGGACACACCCGGGAAAUCAAUUUGGACGCACCCAAUGGAACUCCUAGAUGAUGUGUGUCAUAUAGAAUCUCGCUUCGGUCCAUUUUGCGAUAGUGUUAGUUUCGGUGCAAGACAGGUGCACGGUUUGCACAUAAUGCACCAUAGGCUAAGAAAUCAUUUUGGACACACCCAAUGGUACUCCUAGGUGAAGGGGCUCAAAUGGAAGCUCAGUUUGGUCUGUUUGGAGAUAGUGCUAAUCUUAAUGCAAGAUAGGUGCAUGGUUUGCCUGGAACAUACCAUAUGCUCAUACAUCAAUUUGGACUCACCCGAUGGAACACCUAGAUGACGUGUGUCAUAUAGAAUCUUGCUUCGGUCUGUUUGGAGAGAGUGUUAGUUUUGGUGCAAGAUAGGUGCAUGAUUUGUGCCUAGUGCACCAUGGGUGACGAAACCACUUUGGACACACCUAAUGGUACUCCUAGGUAAAGGGGCUCAAGUGGAAGCUUGGUUUGGUCUAUUUGGAGAUCGUGCUAUUCUUGAUCCAAAAUAGGAUGCACGGUUUGCAUGGAACAUACCAUAUGCUUAGAAAUCAAUUUGGACGCACCCGAUAGAACUCCUAGAUGAUGUGUGUCAUAAGAAAUCUCGCUUCGUUCCGUUUAGAGAUAGUGUUAGUUUUGAUGCAAGAUAUGUGCACAGUUUGUGCCUAAUGCACCAUAGGCUAAGAAACCAUUUUUGGUCAAACCCGAUGGUACUCCUAGUUUAAAGGGCUCAAGUGGAAGCUCUGUUUGGUCUGUUCGGAGAUAGUGUUAAUCUUUAUGCAAGAUAGGUGCAUAGUUUGCGUGGAACGUACCAUAUGCUCGGAAAUAAAUUUGGACACACCCAGGAAAUCGAUUUGGAUGCACUCGAUGGAACUCCUAGAUGACAUUGGUCAUAUGGAAUCUUGCUUCGUUCUAUUUGGAGAUAGUGUUAGUUUUGGUGCAAGAUAGGUGCAUAGUUUGCACCUAAUGUACUAUAGUCUAAGAAACCAUUUUGGACGCACCAAUUGGUACUCCAAGGUGAGGAGGCUCAAGUGGAAGCCUGGUUCGGUCUGUUUAGAGAUAGUGCUAAACAUGAUGCAAGAUAGGUGCACGGUUUGCAUGGAAUGUAUCAUAUGCUCGGAAAUCAAUUUGGAUGCACCCGAUGGAACUGCUAGAUGACAUGUGUCAUAUGGAAUCUCGUUUCUGUCUAUUUGAAUAUAGUGUUAGUUUUAGUGUAAGAUAGGUGCCCAAUUUGCACCUAAUGCACUAUAGUCUAAAAAACCAUUUUGGAUGCACCUGUUGGUACUCCAAGGUGAAGAUGCUCAAGUGGGGGCUCAAUUCGGUCUGUUUAGAGAUAGUGCUAAUCUUGAUCCAAGAUAGGAUGCACAAUUUGCAUGGGACGUACCAUAUGCUUGGAAAUCAAUUUGGACGCACCUGAUGGAACUCCUAGAUGACAUUGUUGACGGUCCUUAAGUAUCAAAUAUAAUCAUCAAAUAAAUAAAGAGAAGGAUCCAAAUGCAACCAACACCCAGACUUAGGGUUUUAUCUGACAGAAUUCCACGAGUUUUGGUGUUUGUCUAUUUCUAUAGGGGGGUAUCAGGAAAUACGGAAGAAAGGCCCACACGUCGGGUUUACAUAGAGAUAUUAACGUGUCGCGUAAUUUUCUGUCAUCUAGAAGACUCCAGAAGCCACGGGAACGAACGGGAAGGCGAACGGGCCCGGGGGCAGGGCAUCCGCACUGACCUAGAGUCCAAUCAGGACUCUCUUCGAGGAUUACACUCCACCGACCUAAAGGAUCAGGGAUAACCGUUCAAUCAAUGUCGGUUUGAUCCGACGGCCCAGAUUCACUUGAAGGGACUAUAUAAGCAGACCCCCUGGCCCCUGGAGGAGGACAAGUUCAUCAUAGAGUUGAGAGGGGCCCUCGAAGGAUAACCUCUCCUCUAAAUAGACUUAGGGCUUAGCAUCCAAUGUGAGUAGAAUUAGAUCUUCUAGUUUCUACUAGAUUGAGAGAGAUAGAGUGGAGGUGUAGAUCGGAGGAAGCCCGGCCUGUCGGUGUCUACUCCGAGGUUGUACCUGCGGGAUCAAGUUCUCCUAACCCGAAGCUUGCUCCUAGGAUUCUUCAGUAAUUCGACUUCUAAAUUCUAGUAAGUUCUUGUUUUAUUGUUCUUUCGUUUAUGAGUUUACUUUAAUCUCUUCCGGUUGAGUUUAGAGUAAUAAUUGCUAGCGUAAACGUGGUGUUUGGGCUAGGGUACUCAUAGAUAUCCCCUGGCUAGCUGGACCGUGGUAGUAGCGAGGAACGUGACAUUUCCGAGUUACCUUUGCAGCCCAUAUCUUGUUAACAGGACGGGUAGGGUUUAUAGGUGCGGGUCUAACAUCCUUUGUGGUGUCUAGAUUCCAUAAGCUUCCCCAAUAGAACAGUAGAUCAUCCUUACCAAGGUUAGAAAGAGACUAUGGUUGUAGUCUUCUCUAUACAUCACUCACAUCGAGAAACAUUCUUUGUAGCCUAAAGGGUAGUAGCAAUAGAUUUGGUUAGUCAGAUGCACGCUUUCUCCCAGUGGUAAAAAUAUAAAUACGAUACUCUGGAUAACCUCCCGGGUGAAAUGCUCACCGAUAUCCGUGCGCUUACGGAUCAUUUCCUGAUGGCGUUACCAAAUAUCAACAAGCAUUUCUGGCGCCGUUGGCGGGGAGAAAGACGGUUUGCUGAGAUAACUUUUAGUCUUGCUAUUAUCUUGUAUUAUACUUUUAUACUUUUAUUCUUUUAUCUUUUUAUUUUUUCCAUCUUUGUGGAUAACUCAAAUUCCACACCUAUUAUUGAAUUUUUUGCACCUUCGGAGACCAACCAUAGACCAUGGGAGUCAACAAGUCCUUUCUUUACCUCUAAUUAUGAUCUGUGUCCGGAGUUGAUUGCAAUAGGUCAAAACCAACCCUUUUCUAUAGCCGAGGUCCUAUCUUUUAAUCAAGAAGAUAAUGAACUUUUAGCUACACCUAGGGAAUCUGUUAAUCUUUCUAUAAAUUCUGGUUUCAACCUAGCCCUACAAGACCAUGUUUUUCCUCGAUAUUUUCACAUUGGUCUUAAUCAUAUACCCUUUGGUAGAGUUUUUCUUUCUUUAUCUGUUAGUAAAGCAAGGUAUGUCUUCAUUCGUGGACAUCCUUCUUGUACUAGUCUUCAUAGAAAAAUCUUAGAGAUAGAGACGGAAUCACAUCCCAGACGAGGAAAGGAAGUUUCAAUAGCCAAUUUUCAAACAUUUUAAUCCCAUGAUUCGGCUAUCCAACCCAUCCUUGAGCUUAAUAAUUUCUACUAUGCUCUUUCUUUUUAACCUCCCGAUAAUCCUAUGAAUCUCUCUAGACAUCCCAUGCAUAAGAAGGAGGAUCGAGAAGAGCAACAUCAAUGGCUAGAGGGCAUUAAAAAUCCAUGUGCUAUCACCAUUAAAUCGAUGGAUAAAACAAACUUGAGAGACAAUCCUAGAGGAAUUUUAAGCAUACAUGAAGAAUCAUCCUUGGAGUUUGAGAAUGAGAGAAACAAAAGUGAGCAUGGAAGUUAUUUGAUAAAUACCUCACCAAGUCCUUGCUCAUAUAAAACAUCUCCCCAAUCAAUUGGUCUCUCCAACCUUACCACAUUUGAGAUCUCCAACCCCCUCUUCCUUUCUAUUUAUAAAAACUUUAAAAGGGCGGUUGUCGAUGCAUAUGUCUAUAAUAAAUAUUGCAGAUCUUGGUGAGUUGAUCUUGAUAUAGGUCAACAUUGGAGGGGAAACCACUUCGCUGACAUAAAUUGAUGGUUUCCCAAGGACAAGCUUAGUGUCCUAAAACAAGCACUGAUCAGAGUGUAACAUGAACUUCUAAUUAUUUGCAACAUUGCCUUGUGUAUGGAGCAUAUAAGGAUAAUUGUAAAAAUAUUCCUUCGGGUAUUCUUGUCACUAACCUUUCUAGGAUUGGAGCAAGAAGAUCUGAGGAAUGACAAGCACAAGGUAUGCCCAACCAAUCAUCAUGCAACAUUGAAUUAAAUUCAUCCAAUCUUGAAUUUUGCAAAAUUCAAGCUUGGGGGAAAUACCUUACAUAAAAACAUCAUUUGCCAUGUUGCUAUGUUGCUUGUCCUUACCUUUCAGACAUGCUCAAUUUGUUAAAUACUAAUCACACUACUUCAUCUCCACUUGAGUAGAUCUCUAUAAAUGCUUUCAUGCUACCUUUAUUUGCUUUAGUAUAUGUCUAGAUUUGGAGUAGUUUCAUUUAUCUCUUAAUUAAGCAUGGUGCUUAGUUUAGGAAUGAUGAUCUUACUUCCAAAGGAUUUUUAAAUUAAGCAUGGUGCUUAGGUUAAAAUGCCCUCCUAAAUCAAAUUAGACAUGGUGUCAAGGUUGAUUUUUGAGCCGAUAGUAUGCUAUAGUAGAUAUGGGAUAUUUUGUUGGACUAACCCCUGCAGGAAAACUUUCAAUAUCAACCUGGGAAGUCCUAAGAUACGAACUCAUUGGAGAUAAAGGAGACACAUGAAGUUUAACAAUUUGCACAAGAAGGACAUAGCUCAUUCAUCAUAAAGAGAUGAUCUAUGGAGGGUGCCACAAACACGAUGCACAACCGCUAAGAAAGAAAAGCUUCCACAAGGUGAUACUAUACCAUCACUCUUCAAUUAAGGUAACAUCUUAAGGUACUUGACUAUCGCUCUUAUAAGUUUCUCCUUGGUUCUGGCAUUCACAUAAAAUAAAGAGACAAACAUGUAUGAUUUAUAACUCCAAAUUAACCAACUCAACUGAUUCAGCAUGUUUAGUCCUUUAAUCUUUGUUCCUAGUAAGCUAAAGUAUUACACAUUCAAUCUUUGGAAGAUAUAAACAAAACAUAAAUAUAGAUAGAUUAUCUUUCCAUUAGGUUGAGCCAUCUGAUCUGACAAAUGUUGCACUCAUGAUCCAUCCACUUUGUCUUGCUCACUAUGCUUAAGGUUAGAGAAGAACAAAUACACUUUUGGUUCUGUUGGUGUUUUCCACCAACAGGGCCCAUGCACUUGAUCUCUGCCUUGUCUCUAUGAACAGGUACACUUCGAGCAAAACAUGGAGGAGUUUUACAACUCCAGACUCCACCAAGUGAAGGACCUAGAUCUACAAGCACAAACAAACUGAGCAUGAUAUUGCCAACACCGCACUUCGAACUGCGGGCAAACAACGAACAUGGGGACNNNNNNNNNNNNNNNNNNNNNNNNNNNNNNNNNNNNNNNNNNNNNNNNNNNNNNNNNNNNNNNNNNNNNNNNNNNNNNNNNNNNNNNNNNNNNNNNNNNNUGCAUGGAACCAUGCCACUACAACCAACAUACAUUCAGCUCAGAUAAUUUUCAGGUCAUUGACAUGGGAGAAGACGAGUAUGAUCCACCCACCAUCCUUGGAAGACCGUUCCUCAACACUAUCAGAGCCAUCAUCUAUAUUGGAACUGGAGAAGUCCACAUGCACUUCCCUCUGAAGAAGACGACGCAACCAGAGGAGGCAAAUCAUCAAGGACGGAUGGACAGACUACAAAGGAGAAGUGGUAAGGUCUGAAGACAUACAACUUGAACAGAACUGUCCUGAGGAGACCGUAGCACCGAGUCAGAUGUGGAAAGAGAAGAUAGUUAUAGCCGCCGGAGCCACCGACUACGCCAUCCAGCGAAUCCCAAGACGACUGAGAAAACGGAGAGUCCCGUUCGGAGAACCGAACGCCUUGCCAAGAGGUAAACAUGGUAGUUAUCCUUUUUCCUGUCAACUAUUUAAAAUAGUUUUCUUAGUUAAUCAGGUUCAUAUCAUCUCGAAAAGAAAAUAAAAAUGUUAAAAAAUAGUAAGCCCCAUGUGAGUAUGCGCAUGGCAUAAAACCCAUAAGUACAUUCAUUGUGGUGGCAUAAAAAUAAAAUAAAUUUAUGAUCCUACCAAAGAAGUAACAUUUAUUGAGGAGGCUCAACAUGAUAAAGGCUAGAUAUUUAUGCUAACACUUAACCAGUUCCACAAAGCUUUGUUGUCUAUUUGAGCUCCAUAGAAUUCAAGGAUCAAAGAAGACUAGCAGACGGAGGACAUCCUAAUCGCUGUCAGGGUGCUGCCGACUUUCAAAUACACCUCCGUCACCUGCUAGUUAUAUCAGAAGAAAUUACGUCAAAAUCCAGCUUGUGGAGAGCACCCCCAUUUAUCCAGCUAAGUGUUUCUACUCGUGUUUAUACUUUACUCAAAUAAUAAAAAGAUGCAUAAUCAUAAAAAACCCAAAUAAAGAUUUUGUGCUUUUAUAUAUAUCUUUGCUUAGUUUGCUAAAUAAAUAAAUAAAUAAAGUUUGCUAUGAACCCUUAUGAUAAGCUCCCACAUGGAAAUGAUGAAUAGUUGCUCUGUCAUGACUAGUUCUUAAAAUUGAAAUCUCUCUUAAGUUUAGGCAUAACUGUUAUAAUUUAAACCUGCUCUAAACCUGAACUUGUGGGAAGAGUACUUGAUCUAAAGUCUAAGCCAUUAACGGAUAUGAUAUGGGAAGGUUGAGCUACUGUUAAUCUGUUCCUAGAGAUGCUAGAAUUCUGGAGAAUUUUAUCUUUGAAAAUCUUUAAAAUAACACAUGAUGAGUUCCUGUAUGAUGAGAGUUUAAAUUCCUACCACAGCCAUACAUACAUGCUUACUAGACUUUGAGCCACACAUUUACUGUUUAUUGCUUAUGAGCAUUGAGUGUGGUCAAGCUGUGUAGACCCUUAGGAGCUUUUCAUACAGUUAAAAUCAAGAUUCACUUGCACGUUCACUCAUACAUGCUACUUCUACUCCGGAAGUACGCAUCCACAUAUAUCCACUCAUUUCCAUCUUCAGAGCCACCCAAAAGUAUUCUACUCCUAAUCCGGGAGAGAAUAGCCAAAAACAUUUCUGUUUUUCCCUAUGAAAUAAAUGCUCGAGUUAUCUUGGUUACUACCACUUGCUAUAUUAUUUAAGGAGAUGAGUGCUCUAAAAAAAGAGGAUACGAGGAAAUAAAAAGGGGCAAGUGCCCGGAACCUCGAAGGAAAUAAAAAGUGAGACGAGAGGUAAAAAUGGACAAGUGUCUGACAGAGAGAAAAAGAAAAAAGAAAAAGAAAAUAUAGAGCAUCUCAUUCUCCUCAAAAAGCUUCAAAGUGCAAGAAAGGUAUGUAUCCCAUAAAAAUAGCAAAAGUAGAAUUAGACUUUCACCAUUGUUACCACCAUCAUCACCAUACUCCAUUCAUUCGCCACACAUGCACAUUUUGAUUUGACUUAUUGACUUGUUUCUCUAGAUCCAUGGUUUGACUAUGCAAUAAAUGUCUUGUAAGUAUGUAUUAGCUGUCUCCCACCUAUGAGCUCCAGAUAUCAAAACCUUAUUAGAGUAGGGUGAGAGAGAAGGCAAUAUCACUAUGCCUUAUACCAAAAAUACCACAUACUUUGAGAGAAGGCAUAUAUCAUCACUGCCUUGGUGAGGAUCUAGAAAUUCCACAAAAGAGAGAAUUGAGAGUCAUACAAGGAAUCUCUGAGUUUUAUUAGAAAAUCUGCAAAAACUCCGGAGCUAUAGUUAAUCAAAGAACAAGAGACAUGGCGCAUAACUUGACCGUUCUAUCUUUUAACUGCUCAAGACACAAGUGACGGUUACAAGCCCCAUGGUGAAAGGUAAAAUGAGUAAGUUUUAAGUCUUAACAGUUUACUCUAACCUAGAGACGAGAUCUUACUUUUGAAGGCAUGAAACCACUGCAGAAACUCUUGAGUUCAUCCUUGCUCAGGGACGAGCAAGAUGUAAGCUUGGGGGAGUUGUUGACGGUCCUUAAGUACCAAAUUUAAUCAUCAAAUAAAUAAAGAAAAGGAUCCAAAUGCAACCAACACCCAGACUUAGGGUUUUAUCUGACAGAAUUCCACGAGUUUUGGUGUUUGUCUAUUUCUGCAUGGGGUUAUCAGGAAAUACGGAAGAAAGGCCCACACGUCGUGUUUACAUAUAGAUAUUAAUGUGCCGCGCAAUUUUCUGUCAUCUAGAAGACUCCAUAAGCCAUGGGAACGAACGGGAAGGCGAACGGGUCUGGGGGCAGGGCGCCCGCCCUGACCUAGAGUCCAAUCAGGACUCUCUUCGGGGAUUACGCUCCACUGACCUAAAGGAUCACGGAUAACCGUUCAAUCAAUGUCGGUUUGAUCCGACGGCCCAGAUUCACUUGAAGGGACUAUAUAAGCAGACCCCCUGGCCCCUGGAGGAGGACAAGUUCAUCAUAGAGUUGAGAGGAGCCCUCGAAGGAUAACCUCUCCUCUAAAUAGACUUGGGGCUUAGCAUCCAAUGUGAGUAGAAUUAGAUCUUCUAGUUUCUACUAGAUUGAGAGAGAUAGAGUGGAGGUGUAGAUCGGAGGAAGCCCGGCCUGUCGGUGUCUACUCUGAGGUUGUACCUGCGGGAUCAAGUUCUCCUAACCUGAAGCUUGCUCCUAGGAUUCUUCAGUAAUUCGACUUCUAAAUUCAAGUAAGUUCUUGUUUUAUUGUUCUUUGGUUUAUGAGUUUAUUUUAAUCUCUUCUGGUUGAGUUUAGAGUAAUCAUUGCUAGAGUAAACGUGGUGUUUGGGCUAGGGUACUCAUAGAUAUCCCCUGACUAGCUGGACCGUGGUAGUAGCGAGGAACAUGACAUUUCCGAGUUACCUUUGGAGCCCACAUCUUGUUAGCAGGACGGGUAGGGUUUAUAGGUGCGGGUCGAACAUCCUUUGUGGUGUCUAGAUUCCGUAAGCUUCCCCAAUAGAACGGUAGAUCAUCCUUACCAAGGUUAGAACGAGACUACGGUUGUAGUCUUCUCUAUACAUCGCUCACAUCGAGAAACAUUCUUUGUAGCCUAAAGGGUAGUAGCAAUAGAUUUGGUUAGUCAGAUGCACGCUUUCUACCAGUGGUAAAAAUAUAAAUACGAUACUCUAGAUAAGCUCCCGGGUGAAAUGCUCACCGAUAUCCGUGCGCUUGCGGAUCAUUUCCUAAUGGCGUUACCAAAUAUCAACAGACAUGUGUCAUAUGAAAUCUUGCUUCGCUCUGUUUGAGAUAUGUGUUAGUUUUGAUGCAAGAUAGAUGCACGGUUUGUGCCUAAUGCACCAUAUGCUAAGAAACCAUUUUGGACGCACCCAAUUGUACUCCUAGGUUAAAGGGCUCAAGUGGAAGCUCAAUUUGGUCUGUUUGGAUAUAGUGCUAAUCUUGAUGCAAGAUAGGUGUGGAGUAUGCGUGGAACAUACCAUAUGCUUGAAAAUCAAUUUGGACACACUCGAUGGAACUCCCAGAUGAUGUGUGUCAUAUGGAAUCUUGCUUCGGUCAAUUUGGAGAUAGUGUUAGUUUUUGUGCAAGAUAGAUGCACGGUUUGCGCCUAAUGCACCAUAGGCUAAGAAACCAUUUUGGACACACCCAAUGGUACUCCUAGGUGAAGGGCCUCAAAUGGAAGCUCAAUUUGGUCUAUUUGGAGAUAGUGCUAAUCUUGAUGCAAGAUAGGUGCAUGGUUUGCAUGAAACAUACCAUACGCUCAGAAAUCAAUUUGGACUCACCCAAUGGAACUCCUAGAUGACCUGUGUCAUAGAAUCUCGCUUCGGUCUGUUUGGAGAGAGUGUUAGUUUUGGUGCAAGAUAGGUGCACGAUUUGUGCCUAGUGCACCAUGGGUGAUGAAACCUCUUUGGACACACCCAAUGGUACUCCUAGGUAAAGGGGCUCAAGUCAAAGCUUGGUUUGUUCUGUUUGGAGAUCGUGCUAUUCUUGAUCGAAGAUAUUAUGCACGGUUUGCAUGGAACAUACCAUAUGCUUAGAAAUCAAUUUGGACGCACCCGAUAGAACGCCUAGAUGAUGUGUGUCAUAAGAAAUCUCGCUUCGGUCUGUUCGGAGAUAGUGUUAGUUUCGAUGCAAGAUAUGUGCACGGUUUGUGCCUAAUGCACCAUAGGCUAAGAAACCAUUUUUGGUCGCACCUGAUGGUACUCCUAGUUUAAAGGGCUCAAGUGGAAGCUCUGUUUGGUCUAUUUGGAGACAGUGUUAAUCUUGAUGCAAGAUAGGUGCAUAGUUUGCAUGGAAUGUACCAUAUGCUCGGAAAUCAAUUUGGACACACCAGAGAAAUCAAUUUGGACGAACCUGAUGGAACUCCUUUAUGACAUCUGUCAUGGAAUCUUGCUUUAGUAUGUUUGGAGAUAUUGUUAGUUCCAGGGCAAGAUAGGUGCCCAGUUUGUGCCAAAUGCACUAUAGUCUAAGAAACUAUUUUGGACGCACUUGUUGGUACUCCAAGGUGAAGAGGCUCAAGUGGAAGCUCAGUUCGAUCUGUUUAGAGAUAGUGCUAAUCUUGAUCCAAGAUAGGAUGCAUGGUUUGCAUGGAAUGUACCAUAUGCUUGGAAAUCAAUUUAGGCAUAUGUCAUAUGAAAUCUCGCUUCGGUCUAUUUGGAGAUAGUGUUAGUUUCAGUAGAAGAUAGGUGCACGGUUUGUGCCUAAUGCACCAUAGGCUAAGAAACCAUUUUGGUCGCACCCGAUGGUACUCUUAGGUUAAAGGGCUCAAGUGGAAGCUCUGCUUGAUCUGUUCAGAGAUAGUGCUAAUCUUGAUGCAAGAUAGGUGCACAGUUUGCAUGGAAUGUACCAUAUGCUCGGAAAACAAUUUGGACGCACUCGAUGGAACUCAUAGAUGACACGUGUCAUAUGAAAUCUCGCUUCAGUCUGUUUGGAGACAGUGUUAGUUUUAGUGCAAGAUAGGUGCUCAGUUUGCACCUAAUGCACUAUAGUCUAAGAAACCAUUUUGAACGUACCUGUUGGUACUCCAAGGUGAAGAGGCUCAAGUGGAAGCUUGGUUCAUUCUGUUUAGAGAUAGCACUAAACUUGAUGCAAGAUAGGUGCACGAUUUGCAUGGAACGUAUCAUAUGCUUGGAAAUCAAUUUGGACGCACCCGAGGGAACUUCUAGAUGACAUGUGUCAUACGAAAUCUCACUUCGGUCUAUUUGGAGAUAGUGUUAGUUUUGGUGCAAGAUAGGUGCACAGUUUGCACCAAAUGCACCAUAGUGGAAGCUCGGUUUGGUCUAUUCGGAGAUAAUGCUAAUCUUUAUGCAAGAUAAGUGCACAGUUUGUUUGGAACAUAACAUAUGCUUAGAAAUCAAUUUGGAUGCACUCGAUGGAACUCUUAGAUGUUGUGUGUCAUAUUGAAUCUCGCUUCGGUCCAUUUGGAGAUAGUGUUAGUUUCGGUGCAAGAUAGGUGCACGGUUUGCGCCUAAUACACCAUAGGCUAAGAAAUCAUUUUGGACACACCCAAUGGUACUCCUAGGUGAAGGGGCUCAAAUGGAAGCUCAGUUCGGUAUGUUCGGAGAUAAUGCUAAUCAUGAUGCAAGAUAGGUGCAUGGUUUGCAUGGAACCUAUCAUAUUCUCGUAAAUCAAUUUGGACUCACCCGAUGGAACUCCUAAAUGACAUGUGUCAUCUGGAAUCUCGCCUCGGUCUGUUUGGAGAUAGUGUUAGUUUUGGUGCAAGAUAGGUGCACAGUUUGCACCUAAUGCACUAUAGUCUAAGAAACCAUUUUGGACACUCCUAUUGGUACUCCAUGGUGAAGAGGCUCAAGUGGAAGCUUGGUUUGGUCUGUUUAGAGAUAGUGCUAAACUAGAUGCAAGAUAGGUGCACGGUUUGCAUAGAACGUUUCAUAUGCUCGGAAAUCAAUUUGGACGCACCCGAUGGAACUACUAGAUGACGUGUGUCAUAUAAAAUCUUGCUUCGGUCCAUUUGGAGAUAUUUCUAGUUCCGGUGCAAGAUAGGUGCACGGUCUGUUUGAAGAUAGGUGCACCAUAGGCUAAGAAACCAUUUUAGACGCACCUGAUGGUACUCCUAGGUUAAAGGGCUCAAGUGGAACCUCGGUUUGGUCUAUUUGGAGAUAGUGCUAAUCUUGAUGAAAGAUAGGUGCACAGUUUGCGUGGAACAUACCAUAUGCUCGAAAAUCAAUUUGGACAUACUCAAUGGAACUCCUAGAUGACGUGUGUUACAUGGAAUCUCGCAUCGGUCCAUUUGAAGAUAGUGCUAGUUCUGGUGCAAGAUAGGUGCACGGUUUGUGCCUAAUACAUCAUAGUCUAAGAAACCAUUUUGGACAAACCUAAUGGUACUCCUAGGCGAAGGGGAUUAAAUGGAAGCUCAGUAUGGUCUGUUUGGAGAUAUUGCUAAUCUUGAUGCAAGAUUGGUGCAAGGUUUGCAUGGAAUGUACCAUAUGCUUAGAAAUCAAUUUGGAAACACCAGAUGGAACUCCUAGAUGACAUGUGUCAUGUGGAAUCUCGUUUUGGUCUAUUUAGAUACAGUGUUAGUUUUGGUGCAAGAUAGGUGCACAGUUUGCAACUAAUGCACCAUAGUCUAAGAAACCAUUUUGGAUGCACAUGUUGGUACUCCAUGGUGAAGAGUCUCAAGUGGAAGUAGUGCUAAUCUUGAUGCAAGAUAGGUGCAUGGUUUGCAUGGAACAUAUCAUAUGCUCGGAAAUCAAUUUGGACGCACAUAAUGGAACUCCUAGAUGACAUGUGUCAUAUGGAAUCUUGGUUCGAUCCGUUUUGAGACACUGUUAGUUUUGGUGCAAGAUAGGUGCAUGGUUUGUGCCUAAUGCACCAUAGGCUAAGAAACCAUUUUGGACACAACCGAUGAUACUCCUAGGUAAAGGGGCUCAAGUGUAAGCUCGGUCCAGUCUGUUUGGAGAUAGUGCUAAUCUUGAUGCAAGAUAGGUGCACGGUUUGCGUGGAACGUACCAUAUGCUUGAAAAUCAAUUUGGAUGCACCUGAUGGAACUCCUAGAUGACGUGUGUCAUAUGAAAUCUUGCUUCAGUCCAUUUGGAGAUAGUUCUAGUUCUGGUGCAAGAUAGGUGCACGGUUUGCGCCUAAUACACCAUAGGCUAAGAAACCAUUUUGGACGCACCCGAUGGUACUCCUAGGUUAAAGGGCUCAAGUGCAAGCUCAGUUUGGUCAGUUUGGAGAUAGUGCUAAUCUUGAUGCAAGAUAGGUGCACAGCUUGCACGGAAUGUACCAUAUGCUUAGAAACUGAUUUGCACGCACACGAUGGAACUUCUAGAUGACGUGUGUCAUAUGUUAUCUUGCUCCGAUCCAUUUGGAGAUAGUCUUAGUUUAGUGCAAGAUAGGUGCACGGUUUGCGCCUAAUGCACCAUAGGCUAAGAAACCAUUUUAGACACACCCAAUGGUACUCCUAAGUGAUGGGGCUCAAAUGGAUGCUCAGUCUGUUCUAUUUGGAGAUAGUGCUAAUAUUGAUGCAAGAUAGGUGCAUGGUUUGCAGGGAAGAUACCAUAUGCUCAGAAAUCAAUUUGGGCUCACCCAAUGGAACUCCUAGAUGACGUGUGUCAUAUAGAAUCUCGCAUCGGUCUGUUUGAAUAGAGUGUUAGUUUCAGUGCUAGAUAGGUGCACGAUUUGUGCCUAAUACACCAUAGGCGACUGUGGGGGGAUAGACCCCUAUACCCUUACGGCUAGACUUGGGCCAGGAGGCUUGGCCCAUUACGAGACGAGUUCAAGACUUGAUCCGACAGCCUGGAGUUUUGCGCAAGGAAGCAAGAUGUGGAGAUCAACCAGGAUUCUAGUCGGUUAGAAUUGGAAUUGAUAUCGAACUAUCUAUGACAAUUGUAACCGACUAGGAUUAGUUUCCAGAUCUAUAACCCUGCCCUUCAGACUAUAUAAGGAGAGGCAAGGGACCCCCCUAGGACAUACGAUUCUCUCAACAGAAAUCAAUACAACCAGACGCAGGACGUAGGUAUUACGCCAACUCGGCGGCCGAACCUGGAUAAAAAGCUUGUCCGAGUCUUGCGUCACCAUCGAGUUCGUAGUUUGCGCACCGUCUACCGAUAAACUACUACCGUGGGUAUACCCCAAGGUAGACUGCCGACCAGCUUUCGUCGACAGUGGCGCGCCAGGUAGGGGGUGUGCGUACAGCUCUCCUAGACGAACAAGAUGGCCAUCAUCCCAAACUUCGUGGCCAUGGUGGGCGGCAUCACGUUCACCGUCAGCUUCAACAGCUUCACCACCACGACCGCGAAGGAGGCGUAGAUCCAAUCUGUGCCGAUCACUUCUUCACCGACGUCGGCUGCAGCUCCAACCACGCUGGCUACGACUUCGACCACACCAGCAACGUUUCCGACCACGCCGACAAAGCGUCGCACGCUUCCCUGCUACAAAGGGAGGCAGAUCGACAACACCGACCUGCUCGGGCCAUCGACCGAAUUGUUUGGCCUACUUGCUUUGACCACCAGUCGCAAUAAUAAUUGCCGCGAAGAACGACGCUACGACAACCGCGACCACCGUGAUGACAACAAGUCAAAAAGCUCAAUGGCCAGACAAUUUUGUCACCACCGACCAGACUUUCGUCCAAAGAUAAGUACAAUUCUAAUAUUUUAUUUAUUUUUGGCAUAAUAUUUUUAAUAUUAUUAUUCUUCAAAACAACUUUUUUAGCCAACUAGUUUUUUCUCCUACACGAGCUUUCCAGAGCCGGUACUGUCUCCGACUCCUCCCUACACGUGCAUGAGAUCCGCCCUCUGCGUUCCGGGUGGUCGGCAGUAGCUCUCUGGCGAGGCUGGCAAUCCCACGCGUGUCUAGGUUCCGCACCUCAUGCUGAUUGUUGGCUAGACCAGAGCUGGUACAAGCUCUAGGACGAAUUAACUACUCGUGCUAAUUUUAUAACAAAAAAUCUAAAACUUAUCUUAGUACUGAUUUUCUAUCUAAAGGUUAUUUAUACAUCAUGUACUACCAAUUCUUUAUAUUUAUUUUUUAGGAGUUUGGCCCAGUCGACAAGCUACGCUCGGAGACUCGUCGACUAUUCCCUACGCUGUGCCCGGGGACUGCUCCGACCACCGAGCACGUUUACGUUCCCAACCACGCUCGGGGACUUGUCGACUACUCUCUAUGCUGUGCUCGAAGACUGUGCCGACCACCGAGCACGUUUACGUUCCCAACCAUGCUCGGGGACUUGUCCACCGGUCCCUACGCCGUGCUCGGGGACUGUGCCGACCACCGAGCACUAUACGCUCGGGGACUGUUCGACCAGCUCACCAAUUUGAGAGUUUUGGGACUGUACCGACCACCGAGCACUAUACGCUCGGGGACUGGUCGACCAGCCCACCAAUUUGAGAAUUCGGGGACUGUACCGACCACCGAGCGUUAUAUGCUCGGGGACUGGUCGAUUAGUCUAUUCAAUUGCAGACCGACUGGUAAAUUCAACCUUUUAGACCUUGCUACAAGGCUCAUACUUCGCCUUCCAGCAAGCUCGGGGACUACAUCGGUACGAUGCAUCUGACGAUGCAUCUCAGUUUCAGAAUUUCUUUGAGGACUUUUCUUUUGACCCUGGCACCACGUGCCUACAUCACCUACUACCAGGCUCGGGGACUAAGUGGGCACACUUCACCUUGCGGUGAAUGUGCUUGCUUUUUGAAAGGCUAUACUUUUCAGAAAAGUAAAGUGGGCACACUUCACCAGGAAAGAAAUCUUUUUUAAUUUAGAGCACCAUGCAUUCUUCAAACAACCUGCUUCUUCGAUGUCAAUGUUGAUCAACUGUUUUUUGAGUUGGUCAAAAUACUGUUGCAACUGUUUGGACGACUUUCCUGCUUAUUGAAGACGUCAAGCCUCACUGAUCGAAGAAGCUCAAGACGGCGUGUUACAUCACAAUACAUGGUGCUCGGGGACUAGCUGUGGGGGGAUAGACCCCUAUACCCUUACGGCUAGACUUGGGCCAGGAGGCUUGGCCCAUUACGAGACGAGUUCAAGGCUUGAUCCGACAGCCUGGAGUUUCGCGCAAGGAAGCAAGAUGUGGAGAUCAAGCAGGAUUCUAGUCGGUUAGAAUAGGAAUUGAUAUCGAACUAUCUAUGACAAUUGUAACUGACUAGGAUUAGUUUCCAGAUCUGUAACCCUGCCCUUCAGACUAUAUAAGGAGAGGCAAGGGACCCCCCUAGGACAUACGAUUCUCUCAACACAAAUCAAUACAACCAGACGCAGGACGUAGGUAUUACGCCAGCUCGGCGGCCGAACCUGGAUAAAAAGCUUGUCCGUGUCUUGCGUCACCAUCGAGUUCGUAGUUUGCGCACCGUCUACCGAUAAACUACUACCGUGGGUAUACCCCAAGGUAGACUGCCGACCAGCUUUCGUCGACAGUGGCGCGCCAGGUAGGGGGUGUGCGUGCAACUUUUCCGGCGAACAAGAUGGUCACGAUCCCAGCUUCCGCGACCGUGCCUGAAGGCCUCACGUUCACCGUUGGCCAGAUCACGUGGACGACGUGCAGCGGCGGCCUCACGACCACGGUUUCGAAAGAGACCCAGAUCCAAUCUGAGAUCACGCCGUCUCCGACCACACACGUGGCGGCACCGAGCGCCCGACCACCGUUCCCGCUCUACAAGGGAAAGAAGAUCGACAGCUCGGACCUUCUCCAAGCGCUUGAUCGCGCUGACUCCAAGCUACUCGAAGUUUCCCAACUAGUAGACGGAGUUCUGCGUCGGCCCGACCAAGCGGCUCCAGUGGAUUUUUUCAAACCCCGCCGGCCAACUCGUGUCGCCACACACGAACGGCUGGGAACGUCUCUGACGAUAACCUCAACACCCUCAAGACGAUCCGUCGAGCUCAAGAAGGAAGAUUAUCCUUGCGGCCUGAACAACUCGGCCUCUGUUUACUCACAGCACACCCAAUCCGUUUUCAGCAAGGUGGGUUGGUCGCUGACAAGGAACGAUCGUCACUACGUCAACAUGGUGACGAUCCGAGAACUACGGGACGGCCAGGUUUCCAGCACCAACUCAAGCACCGGUUCCGUCCCCACCGAGGUUAUAAACACCGAAGACGAGGACUACGACUUGGAUUUUCCUUCACACCCUCCGGGUUUCCCCCGAUUCCCGAUAUUUCCCCCCCGGCGAGGAGAUAUUGUGUUCAAUGUCAGCGCCGACAAACCGGUCGUUGAUGGAGAAACAGAUGACCAGAGGCAACUCCGCGAACAGCGCAACGCCGAUCGCGCCCGACGACGCGCAGACGAGCAACAACAAAUGCCACCAAAUAAUCUCAACGAUGCCUUUGACAUGGUCGGGGACCAGCCAGUCUACAAAACGCCAAGCGCCAACGUGGCUGUCGCCAUGGCUAACCUAGAUCGGCUUCCUCAUACCCCCGAGUGCCAGGGAGUCCGGACCAGCAUCCGAGCACACCUGAUCGCUGCAAUGGGACAGACAGCCACUCUACUCAAGAGAGUCCAGGACGUCUCUUGUACGGAAGCCGCCUCCGACCAGACUAAUCGUAGCCGGGCCUCACCGUCUCCCAGCAGGCGUCACCGCAGCCGCUCUCCCGACAACCGUCGAAAGGACUCACGGCGCGACGAUGGUGGUCGGGACGCCGACGGUCGCCGCAAGCAGAACCGCGUACGCGGCCAAGAAGUAAACCAGCACAGGGAUCUCCGCCACAACAUCCCUCCCAAAGAUGCCCGGGACCGCAUCAACAGGCGCGCCAUAGAGAGAGCAGUCCACGAAAACCUGCGCCGCAUCGAGUACGAUGCAACGCACUGUCCUCCGGGCCUAAGACAGUUCUCCUCACACCUCCGCCAGGUCGUGUCGCCCCGCAAUUUCAAGCUCAAAAAACUUAAAAAAUACGACGGCAAGGAAAAUCCAGAGAAUUGGAUCACCCUCUAUGAAAUCGCCGUCCGAUCAGCGGCAGGGGAUGAGCACGUCAUGGCUAACUACUUCCCCGUAGUCCUUGACCAGGCUGGUCAUCAGUGGCUUCUUGGCUUGCCCGAGGACUCCUUCGACUCUUGGGAAGAGCUACGCCAGGCUUUCAUCGACAACUUCAUCGCCACAUGCGAGCAGCCUGGAAACAAGUAUGACCUUGAAAGGAUAAGGGACAGGAAGAAUGAACCUCUGCGCGAUUACAUCCGACGAUUCUCGGAUAUGCGCCUCAAAAUCCUGAAGAUUUCCCAUGACCAGGCCAUCUCAGCCUUCAUCAAGGGCCUGCGUUUCCACGAAGCGCUGAGGAACAAGCUGUUGCGUAAACGUCCAACAACGGUAGCACAGCUCCUCGCCACGGCCAAAAAUUACGCCGAUGCCGAUGACGCAGAAAAACUAAUCCGAGACGAUGCGAGAGGUCCCGACCAGCCUCCCCGGCGAGAUGACGGUCGUGGUCGCUACGACAGCAGAAACCACCGCCGCUCCGACAACCACGACCACCGAGAGGGUUGGGAUCGGCGGCGCGACAACCGCGAUGAUUUCAGAGGAAAGCGCCCUCGCGACUACGACCACGAAGUAAACACGGUCAAGCGUCCCAACGGACGACGGGACUACCAAGAAGACUACAACAAAACGUUGAAGGGACCAUGCCAACUGCACCCAAAGUCUAAUCAUACCAUGGAAGAGUGCCGUGUCCUCAAAAGCAUCUAUACACGGCGGGCCACCCAAGACGACUCCGCCAAGAAAAACAACAAGCGAGACGGGCACGACCACGAAGAUGAGGACGAGGACCAAGAUAGGGACCCCCGACACCAGUACGUCAGCCCCACCGAUGUGGUCCACUCCAUUUUCGGGGGCAAGGUCUCCAUUGAAUCCAAGCGAGAAAGAAAGCUGUUAAAGAGAGCCUGCCUCAACAUAGACAGCACGGACGGGCUGAUCGCAGACCCAAAAUUCCCCCUGUGGUCCCACAGGGAGAUCUCGUUCAGCAGGAAGGACCAGUGGGCCGCUAUCCCAGAGCCGGGUCGUUUCCCCCUGAUUCUGGACCCUUGCAUCAACAGCAUCAGAUUCGAGCGCGUGCUCGUGGACGGGGGAAGCUCCAUUGACAUCCUCUUUCGCAACAGCCUGCCCGCCCUCAAGAUAUCUCCUGCACAACUAAAACCUUACGACGCCUAAUUCUGGGGGGUUCUGCCGGGUCAAAGUUCAGUGCCUCUCGGACAGAUAACAUUGCCUGUCCAAUUCGGCACACCCGACCACUUCCGGACGGAGUUCAUCAACUUCGUGGUCGCCGAUUUCGACGGGACCUAUCACGCUAUACUGGGCCGACCAUCGCUGACAAAGUUCAUGGUAGUCCCGCACUACUCAUACUUGGUCCUUAAGAUGCCUACGGAGAAGGGUGUCCUAACCGUCAGAGGCAAUGUUUACACUGCGUAUACCUGCGAAGAGGAGAGCUUCAAGAUCACCGAAGCAAUCGACCUCUCAAUCCGCAUGGCAGAAACAGCAACUCAAGCCGCGCAGCUGCUUCCCGACCAGCUCCGAUUACCUGAGCAGGAGACAGCCAGAAAGAACUCAAAAUCCAAGGAGCACAAAGAAGUACAACUGGUCGACGGCAGCCCCGAGAAGACGGCCCUCAUCGGGGCCAACCUGGAUCCAAAAUAGGAAGACGCGCUCGUCAGGUUUCUAAGGGACAACGUAAGCAUUUUCGCAUGGAAACCCGCAGACAUGCCCGGCGUCCCAUGAAACCUGAUCGAGCACUCCUUAAAUGUGUCGAAGACCGCAAGACCAAUCAAGCAAAAGCUGCGACGGUUCACUCGUGACAAAAAGGAGGCUAUUAGGACAGAAAUCCCACGGCUUCUAGCAGCCGGAUUCAUAAAAGAAGUGUAUCACCCCGAUUGGCUCGCCAAUCCGGUUCUUGUACGCAAAAAGAAUAAUGAAUGGAGAAUGUGCGUUGAUUACACUGAUCUCAAUAAACACUGUCCUAAAGAUCCUUUUGGUCUCCCUCGCAUCGACGAGGUGGUCGACUCAACGGCCGGAUGCGAACUCCUCUCCUUUCUAGACUGCUACUCUGGUUAUCACCAGAUUUCGCUAAAAGAAGAAGAUCAGAUCAAAACAUCUUUUAUUACACCUUUCGGCGCAUACUGCUAUACGACCAUGUCUUUCGAACUCAAAAACGCCAGAGCCACUUAUCAAAGGGCCAUCCAGCAAUGCCUCCACGACGAGAUUCGUGAUGACCUCGUCGAGGCCUAUGUGGACGAUGUGGUCGUAAAAACAAGGGACGCGAGCACCCUAAUCAACAACUUAGACCGAACUUUCAAGGCACUCAAUAGGUACAAGUGGAAGCUCAACCCCAAGAAAUGCAUUUUCGGCGUUCCUUCCGGUCUACUGCUCGGCAACGUUGUCAGUCGCGACGGCAUACUACCAAACCCUUCAAAAGUAAAGGCGGUACUCGACAUGCGACCACCGAAGAACGUAAAGGAUAUCCAAAAGCUAACCGGAUGUAUGGCCGCCCUCAGUCGCUUCAACUCAAGGCUAGGAGAAAAAGGCCUCCCUUUCUUCAAACUAUUAAAAGCGUCAGAAAAAUUUUCUUGGACAGAAGAAGCCGACACCGCAUUCAACCAGCUUAAGACCUUCCUCACUUCACCACCUGUCCUUACAGCGCCUCAGCCCAAUGAAGACCUACUCCUUUACAUUGUUGCAACUGACAGGGUUGUUUCCACGGCAAUAGUGGUCGAGCGAGGUGAACCAGGUCACGCCUACAAGGUCCAGAGACCAGUUUACUUCAUAAGUGAAGUCUUAAACGAGUCCAAGGCCAGGUAUCCACAAAUACAGAAGCUCAUAUAUGCCAUUCUAAUAACGUCAAGAAAGCUGAAGCACUACUUCGACGACCAUCGAGUCCUGGUGACAACCAGUUUCCCUCUCGGGGACAUCCUGCGCAAUAAAGACGCCAAUGGCAGAAUCGUGAAAUGGGCAAUGGAAUUAUGUCCAUUUUCCCUGGAGUUCCAGAGUCGCACCACUGUCAAGUCUCAGGCCCUGGUCGAUUUCAUUGCUGAAUGGACGGAUCUCAACGAGCCUUCCGUUCCCGAUGUCUCAGACCACUGGUCAAUGUUCUUUGACGGGUCCUUGAACAUCAACGGUGCCGGCGCUGGGAUACUGUUCGUAUCACCCAACAAGGACAAACUGCGCUACGUCCUUCGGAUCCUUUUUCCGGCGUCAAACAAUGUCGCCGAAUACGAAGCAUGCUUGCAUGGCAUAAGACUAGCCGUUGAGCUGGGAGUCAAGCGCCUCUAUGUUUAUGGCGACUCCGCUUUGGUCAUCAACCAGCUCAACAAGGAGUGGGACGCAACCCACGAGAAGAUGGAUCUCUACUGCAAAGAAAUUCGCAAAUGGGAAACCAACUUCUACGGCAUAGAGUACAUCCACGUGGUCCGGGAUAAGAACCAAGCAGCAGAUGCGUUGUCGAAGUUAGGCUCAUCUCGGGCCCAGAUCCCGCGGGGUAUUUUCGUCCAGGACAUCCACGAGCCGAGCGUAGGCUCCUCCCUGGUCGACAAGCAACCCACCGAGGCAAUGCUCAUAGACGACGCCACUCCGACACCGGUGGGCGUGACUGGCGUACCCCGUUCAUCAAAUACAUAUCGGACGGGACAGGCCUUCAGGACAAAACAGAGAACGAGCGCCUCAUUCGACGAUCAAAGAACUACAUCCUGGUCGACGGCAAACUCAUGCGAAAAAACGCAAGCUCCGAAGUACUGCUCAAGUGCAUACCCCAAGAUGAUGGUAUCAAGCUCUUAGAAGACAUACAUGCUGGAUCCUGCGGCAAUCACGCCGCAUCCAGAACGCUGGUCGAAAAGGCUUUCCGAGCAGGUUUUUAUUGGCCAACCGCGGUCGGCGACGCAGAAAAACUGGUUCGACAUUGCGAAGGAUGUCAGUUUUUCGCUAAGAGGACCCACGUACCUGCCCACGAAAUUCAAACCAUCCCGUCGUCUUGGCCCUUUGCUUGCUGGGGGCUUGACAUGAUCGGGCCAUUUAAACCAGCCCCGGGCAAUUUCAAGUUUGUUUUCGUGUUAAUCGACAAGUUCUCCAAGUGGAUUGAAUACAUGCCUCUGGUCAAGGCAACCUCCGAGAAGGCUGUGGAGUUCCUCAAUCAAAUCAUACACAGAUUCGGCAUCCCGAACAGCAUAAUCACCGACCUGGGCACUCAGUUUACUGGCACCACUUUUUGGGACUUAUGCGAUGACAGAGGCAUAGUCAUAAAAUACGUGUCAGUGGCACAUCCAUGUGCCAACGGUCAAGUUGAACGUGCUAACGGAAUGAUCGUUGACGCCCUAAAGAAAAGGUUGUACACCGAAAACGACAGAGCACCCGGUCGAUGGAUGAAUGAAUUGCCGGCAGUGGUCUGGGGCCUCCGAACUCAGACCAGUCGAAACACAGGGGUGUCUCCCUACUUCAUGGUGUACGGUUCAGAGGCGGUCCUGCCGUCUGACAUACACUUCGGAUCUCCUAGAAUCGAACACUUCGACCAGGCGACCGCCGACAACGCCAGAGAACUCGAAAUCAAUUGCAUGGAGGAAAAGCGUUUAGAUUCUUGUCUCCGAACAGCAAAAUAUCUCGCGGCAGUCAGGCGAUACUACAACAGGAACGUCAAGGACCGUUCCUUUGGGGUCGGCGAUCUGGUACUUCGAUGGAAAACAAGCCAGGAGGGAAUGCACAAGCUAUCCACUCCCUGGGAAGGACCCUUCGUGGUGACCGAGGUCACACGACCUACGUCCUACAGAUUGGCAUACCCAGACGGAACACGAGUGCCUAACUCUUGGCACAUAGACAAACUGCGACGUUUCUAUCCAUAAAGUUUUAAUAACUUUCCUUUGUAAGUAUCUUAUAAUUGUUAAUAAUGAAAUUCUCUAUUUUUUGCCUAUACCUUGUCGCACACAGCACUCGGCAAAACUUCUGCAAUGGAUGCUCUUAACGACUACCAAGACGAAUACGGUGACACGUCACUCAGAUAAUCUUACAGCGCUCAAAACAACAGUCAUGACAAAAAGCAAACUUUAUUACAAACUUUACAUACAAAGUUUACAAUAAAUACCCUGACGGGCAGACACUAGUCUAUUCCUACACACUACUCUAUUGGCCUAGCUGCUCGGGCUGAUCACCCGCCUGGCCCUGCUGCCCGGACGAAGGGGUCGGGGCCACCGGCGCCUGGCUGGUCGAGACCGCAGGCGUCGACCGCCCAUCUCCCGCAACGGACGCGCCCGACAACUCCCUGGCCGACCUAUCUGAACUCGGCUGGUCUGGGGGAGUGGCUGUUCCGCACAGAUUGAUGUCGCCGAUCACUGUCGACGACAAGUCCAGCAGACUACCCCGAAGCUCGUCCGCUUCCUGUGGGCCGACCUCCUUCGGGUACCCCUUCUCCAGCCUGCUCAAGUCGACCAGGGGGUAGUGGGCGCGCACCAUGCUGAGGACGUGCGCGCCGGCAAACUCCCCGGCGUCCUUCACGAACUGCUGGAGCCAGUCCCACGCCCGUUGCGCCUUCUCGACCGGGGUCAACUGUGGCGCGCGGGGCUAGCUCUCCGGGAGCUCGGGACUGAUCAGGUCUAGGACCGGGGACACUCCUUUCCAGAUCCUGCAACAGUUGACCUUCCAGGAGUCCCGGUCCUUGACCAGAUCAUCCAGGUGCUUCUUGGCGUUCACCUUGAGCACUGCAAACGAAACAAAGCGUUAUUUUCGGCAUACCAAACAAACAAAGGGGCAACAAGCAGCAGCUAACAAGGCGGCACCCAUUACCAGAUAAUUCCCGGUCCUUUCGACCCAAUUCCUCUCCUGCUCGCCGCCCGGACUCCAGCGCACCGGCGAGCUGUUGGCUGAGCUGCUCCUUCUCUUGUCGGAGGCGCGCCACCUCCUCCUCCAAGUCUGCGUGAAUCAUAAACUGGUCAGUAAAGCAAACUACACAAGUACGCAAAGCUGCUCGGAGCGUGUGACUAACCUUCUCGCUGCCGGUACUGGUCGGCCAAGCGACGAGUGAGGUCGAGACGACGCUCCUCUUGGGCGCUCAUCUCGGCCACCUUCUCCCUGAUUUCCGACCGCAGCCGGUCUACCUCCGUGGCCAGGGCCUUGUUCUCGGCCACGACGCCUUCUAUCUGGUCAAAGCACCGUUUCCGGUACUUUGCCGUUUUCAUUGCGCCCUACAAAGCGAACAUAUAACGACCAUGCAAGACAAGGCAUAGAAUGUACAGUAGUACAAAAAGUCACUUACCUUGACUUCGUCGACGAGGCGCUUGGCCGCGCGCUCCACCCUGGCUGCCUCCUCGGUCUCGGCGAGCUCUUCAUGCCCGAUAAACUGAUCCCCGCGUUGGCGCCACACAUACACGUGUUGGCGGCCAUCACGGGGACGACCCUCAAUCUCCUCCACCUCGUCCUCGGGGGCCGCCUGAGCUUCCUCCUCCCGCGCUGUGUUGCUUCCGGUAGCGGUCCCAGGCAUUACUGGUCCCCGGACCAGACCUGGGGAGCCUGCAGUCGAAGCGGCCCCUGCUCGGGGCGGUGUGGAGACUUCACCCUCCCCGGCGGGAGGAGGGGUCGGGGCCCUUCCCUCCCUUUCCAUGGUGCUGGCUGGGGGAGGCGUCCCCAUAGCCUCCUCAACCCUGGUCGGGCUGCUCAACGUAGCCGGUGCCGCGGCCGGGGACUCCUCGGCGCUCUCAAGCAUGGCUGCAGCCGUAGGCUGCUCUGCGGUCUGUGGGGCCGCGUCUUCAGCAGCGCAAACCGGCUCACUCGUCCCCUGGCCAGCGGCAUGGCCAGGGUUGACAUCCGACGCCGCGCUAAAGGAACAAAACUACAAUAAAAAAAAACAUUGGUGAAAUACGUAAGUUAAACACUUACAGGUUUGAGCGGCAGUGGGUCGCGGUAAACCUCCUUCUCGUCCGACCAGUCGGCACCUGUGCUCCCGACUCCCCAGCGUGAGGCGCAGGUGGAUCGACGGCCACACGGUCGGCAGUGGUCGCCCCGCCGUCCGGACGGCUAGGAGGCCUCCGGACCAACGACGGAACGACCUCCUCCUCCUCCUCGUCGUCGAUCCGAACGAACCGAUGCCGCUUCGGCGCUCGGCUGCUCUCCGCCGGCAGUGUCGGCAUCGGCGACGGAUCCACAGGCAUUGGCCUUUUCCCCGACACCCUUUCCUCGGUGGUUGGGACGGGGCGGGCUUGUUCCUCCUCACUGCUGGUGUAAUGAGCACACCGAGCAGCGUCCUCCUCUAGCGGGUCUUCUCCCGCAGGAUUCUCCAUCCCCGGUGCCAGUGAUACAUACACUAUGCACCGGUCGACAUCGCCGAUCUGCAAAAAGCAACAAAGAUGAGCCAGCCACAUACGAUAUACGAAUACUAAAACAAAAUAAUCUGCAACAUACCUUUGGUGCUGGUCGGCCUAACUUGAAGGCUUGCACCCGAUCACUGCCACGGAUGAAGCCUCCGUCCGCGAAGUUGAACAGCUCGUUCAACAGCCGUUGUACCUCCGCCUUCUCCAAGAUCUCCGGUCGCAUCCUGGUCGGGUCCACGCUUCCGGCAUACUCGUACGCCGAGUGCACCCUCUUCUGGCAGGGCAUCACCCGACGACAAAUAAAGUUGCCGACCACGCCAAGCCCAUCCAGGCGCGACCAGUCGAUCAGCUUCAUUAGAUCCGCCACUUGACCGUCGAACUCCGGGCGGUCGGUCCAGCUCACCCUCUUUUCGGGAAUGUACCCCACGUCGCAGAACGUGGAGCUGCCCGGUUCCUCCCUGACGUAGAACCACUUCCUAUACCAUUCGGUCAAGGAAGUGUUCCAUGGACAGUGCAGGUAGUGAUUCUUCAUUCCAUCACGAAGGUUGAGGUAUACUCCACCUGCGACCUUGGAGCCUCCAACUGCUCCCUUCUUCCUCAAGCAGAAAAGGUAACGAAAAAGAUCGAAGUGCGGCUCUAUGCCAACAUAGGCCUCGCACAGAUGAAUAAACGUGGAGAUAAGGAGAAUUGAGUUCGGGUGCAGAUUGCAAAUCCCGAUCUCAUAAUACAAAAGAAGACCUUGGAGAAAAGGAUGAACCGGAACCCCAAAUCCCCUCUUAACGAAAUCUUCGAACACGACGAUCUCACCGGCCCGAGGGUCGGGGAAGCUUUCUCCUUCCGGCGCUCUCCAGCCGCCAAGCUCUGAGCUGUGCAGGAGUCCCAUGUCGACGAGGUCACCGAGGGAUUUGGUGGUGCUGCGGGACUUCUUCCACUCCUUGGCCAUCAGUUCGGCCCUCUUCUUGGAGUCGCUCUUCGCCAUUGGAGGUGAGAAGUGGAUUUGGGUUACGAAGAUGCAGGUGAUCGAAAGAGGCGAGAAUGGAAGGCUUGAGGGCAAUGGCAGGGUAAGGAGUACAGGCGGAACUGUCAGGCUCUUAUAACCCGCAACUCCACCUCUCCCAUUUCCUGUAUUCUCGGGAAGUGGGCGGGCCAUGCGGCGGAUGCGGCGUUUCGGUUUACAAUGAUUAUAGACAAUUAAUGCGGCGGAGUUUUCGUACCAAUUGAUGGUUUCCUUUUUCUCAAACCACGCAAAGGGCGGCUGCACAGUUGCCAGGCGCAACUUUUCAUGCGUCCAUCUGACAACCCAUCAGGAGGUCUCGUCAUGUCAACUUUAACUGAAAAGAUCGUUUCAAUAAAAAGAAGACAAAUAUGCCAGAGAGUCAACAAUCCGAAGACUGCACCGACCACCGAGCAAUUGAUGCUCGGGGACUGGUCGCCCAGUCCAUCAGCUCGGAACUUCAAAGACUGCACCGACCACCGAGCAAUUGAUGCUCGGGGACUGGUCGCCCAGUCCAUCAGCUCGGAACUUCAAAGACUGCACCGACCACCGAGCAAUUGAUGCUCGGGGACUGGUCGCCCAGUCCAUCAGCUCGGAACUUCAAAGACUACACUGACCACCGAGCACUCGAUGCUCGGGGACUGGUCGUACAGUAUAGCAACGCAGAAUACUAAGCAGCGCACUUGGCGCCUGGGUACUGGUCGUCAUACUAUUAUUUACGUUCCCAACCGCGCUUGGGGACUUGUCCAACGGAACCUACACCGUGCUCGGGGACUGUGCCGACUACCGAGCACUACAUGCUAGGGGACUGUACCGACCACCGAGCGUUAUAUGCUCAGGGAUUGGUCGAUUAAUCUAUUCAAUUGCAGUCAGACUGGUAAAUUCAACUUUUUAGACCUUGCUACAAGGCUCACACUUCGCCUUCCAGCAAGCUCGAGGACUACAUCGGUACGAUGCAUCUGGCGAUGCAUCUCAGUUUCAGAAUUUCUUUGAGGACUUUUCUUUUGACCCUGGCACCACGUGCCUACGUCACCUACUACCAGGCUCAGGGACUAAGUGGGCACACUUCACCUUGCGGUGAAUAUGCUUGCUUUUUUUUAGGUCCAUGCUUUUUAGAAAAGUAAAGUGGGCACACUUCACCAAGAAAGAAAUCUUUUUUAAUUUAGAGCACCAUGCAUUCUUCAAACAACCUGCUUCUUCGAUGUCAAUGUUGAUCAACUGUUUUUUGAGUUGGUCAAAAUACUGUUGCAACUGUUUGGACGACUUUCCUGCUUAUUGAAGACGUCAAGCCUCACUGAUCGAAGAAGCUCAAGACGGCGUGUUACAUCACAAUACAUGGUGCUCGGGGACUAGCUGUGGGGGGAUAGACCCCUAUACCCUUACGGCUAGACUUGGGCCAGGAGGCUUGGCCCAUUACGAGACGAGUUCAAGGCUUGAUCCGACAGCCUGGAGUUUCGCGCAAGGAAGCAAGAUGUGGAGAUCAAGCAGGAUUCUAGUCGGUUAGAAUAGGAAUUGAUAUCGAACUAUCUAUGACAAUUGUAACCGACUAGGAUUAGUUUCCAGAUCUGUAACCCUGCCCUUCAGACUAUAUAAGGAGAGGCAAGGGACCCCCCUAGGACAUACGAUUCUCUCAACACAAAUCAAUACAACCAGACGCAGGACGUAGGUAUUACGCCAACUCGGCGGCCGAACCUGGAUAAAAAGCUUGUCCGAGUCUUGCGUCACCAUCGAGUUCGUAGUUUGCGCACUGUCUACCGAUAAACUACUACCGUGGGUAUACCACAAGGUAGACUGCCGACCAGCUUUCGUCGACAGCGACGAAACCACUUUGGAUGCACCCGAUGGUACUCCUAGGUAAAGAGGCUCAAGUGGAAGCUUAGUUUGGUCUAUUUGGAGAUCGUGCUAAUCUUGAUCCAAGAUAGGAUGCUCGGUAUGCAUGGAACAUACCAUAUGCUCAUAAAUCAAUUUAGACGCACCCGAUGGAACUCCUAGAUGAUGUGUGUCACAUGAAAUCUUGCUUCGGUCUAUUUGGAGAUAGUGUUAGUUUCGAUGCAAGAUAUGUGCACGGUUUGUGCCUAAUGCACCAUAGGCUAAUAAACCAUUUUGGUCGCACCCUCUCCUAGGUUAAAGGGCUCAAGUGGAAGCUCUAUUUGGUCUGUUUACAUAUCGUGCCAAUCUUGAUCUAAGAUAUGAUGCACAGUUUGCGUGGAACGUACCAUAUGCUCAAAAAUCAAUUUGGACGCACAUGAUGGAACUCCUAGAUGACAAGUGUCAUAUGGAAUCUCGCUUCGGCCUUUUUGGAGAUAGUGUUAGUUUCGAUGCAAGAUAGGUGCACGGUUUGUGACUAAUGCACCAUAUGCUAAGAAACCAUUUUGGAUGCACCCGAUGGUACUCCUAGGUUAAAGGGCUCAAGUGGAAGCUCGGUUUGGUCUGUGUAACAUCCCUGAUGUUACAGAUACUAAAACUUGAUCAUGUCAUCAUAAGCAUUGCAUAGCAUAUUUGUUAAGCACAUCCUGAUGCAUUAACUUAAAAUAAGUUUAAUUUGGUUGAAUGUGUUUAGGGAAUUAAAGUGUGCUUAUGUUGUGAAGUGAUGCUUGUGUUGGUUGUCUAAUCCUUAGUGAUGGAGGGUUCCGAGGAAUUGUGGGAGAAAACCCUAAUUUUAAAUCAUAGCUUUUACCCCCUUUUGAGUAAUUUAAAAACUAUGAAAAAUUUGAGGAUGAGUUCAACAGAAAAGUUGUAGCUCUUGUCAAGAUGUACAACUUUGGUGUUUUGAAUUUUUUAAGUUUCAACACAAAAUUGAAAGUAAUUUUGAAAAUACAGAUUUCCAAAAAAUGUCCCCCUUUCCAAUUUGAAUCCCCAAUUCAAAAUCUAUUUGGAAUCUUGAAAAGUGACCAACAUGAAAGUUGUAGAGCUCAAAAAGUUGAACAACUUUCAUGUUGAGAAUUUUCCAAGUUGUUAUGGAAAAUCAAAAGUAAUUUUGGAAAUUCUGAUCUGCCCCAAUUCAAAAAUUUGAAUUUCCCCAAUUUGGUAUUUGAAAUUUAAACUGUUUUGUCAAAUUUAUCUUUUUCCACUUGGAAUCAGCUCUGGACACCAAAAUAGGUUUUGUAGCUUGUAAAAUUUUGCACAACUUUCAUUUUAACAGAUUUUGGACUUUAGUUCAAAGUUUGGGUGAAUUUUGCAAAACAACAAAAUGUUUGGAUAUGGCUCGCUACAGUACUCGAGCAGAGGGGGGAUGCACUGCCGCCGGGGCAGAGCUGCUGCGUCCAGCGCCGCCACGUGCCCAGCCACGCCGCUGCUCGCCUGCUUGCGGUCGCGGUGAAGUGGCCGAGCUCCUGGCGUCCUCAUCCACUUCUUCCCGUGGCUCGCACCUCACUGCAACCCUCUCUUCUUCCUUUCUCUCAACGCCGGUGAGCUCCCUGCGCCCGCAAAAAUUCACCUCGCCCACUCUCUUUCUAAGCCACCAGAGCACCCCAGCAGCUUUGCCAAGGUCUCAGCAACCGUUCGCGCCCCUUGAUGCAAGCUCUAACCAUCUCUAGCUCCGUCUACGUCCGUUCUUCUUCCACUCCGGCCAAAAACGCCGCCGAGGAGCACCUCAACGUGGCCAUGCCACCUCAGGCCUUAUCGCAGCAAGCCCUGGUCACCAGAGGGCGCACAUAGGCCCAACCAUGCUCCAGCACCUCUCCCUUGUCGCCAACAGACGUUCACCGGUCGGAAAUCCGGCUUCCCCGUGCGCCUCCUCUGUUUUCAAUUCGCGCCAGGGACUUCGAGUUAGAAUUCGACACAGGGUAAGGGUCUAACUGCGAAGUUCGUGACUCAGGUGAAUAGUGCCAUCAGGACCUGUUUGUAGAUGGUUUGUUAGAAAUUUGGAAAUUCAUAUCUGGAGUUUGGUAGCUCCAAUUUUGGUGAACCAAAUUUUGUUGUGCUCCUUGAGAUGUCUAGUUUUUAUUAAAAAUAUGAAACUGACCAUGUUUUGUAGUAAAAUAAUUAGUUAUGAUUUAUGCCUUUUAAUUAUGUUUAGAAAGGAGAAAUUCAUAUCUAAUUCUGUGUAGCUCCUAUGGGCCUGAAAUUUUUAUGGUGUUCUCAUGAUGCUAUGUGAGUGUUACAGUAAAUAUUUCAUGUUUAGUGUAUGAUGUAUGGUUAAGUUAUUAAUUUAUCUUGUUUAGUGCUUAUUAAAUGGAUUAUAAUUAAAAUACAAAUGCAUAAAUAUAAAAUAUGGUUCCUCUACCUUUAUAUGAGGUUUUUAUAUCAUAUUGAUACAUAAUUUAACUAUGUGUUUGUAGAAAAUGUCGAUUUUCUUAUUUAUCUUGCUGUUACAUGCUUCCUUGUGAUGGAAAUUUAUCUUUUUCAUGGAAAUUGCUAUACUUAUCCAAAUGGCAUGAAAUUUAUACAGUAUACUCUGGAGAACAUAUAUGAUCUGCUGUAGUUUUCUCAGAAUUUACUGUGUACUUUUGAUAUAUGGUUAUUACUUUGUCUAUUUAUCUAAAUAAAUUAAUAAAGACAUGAAAGGUAUUUAUUUAGGGAUGGCCAUGAUGUUUUCUAGUAUCCCUUUGAUGUAUUUCAACUGUCGGUAAGCUAGGUUUUGCCUAGAUUCAAGUUUGGAACACAAAUGAAAUGUUAUUUCUCUGUAGUUCAAUUGUUAGUGGUUUCUCGACAGUUUCUGGAGUAUUAUGAAUUGCUCUAGGUAGAUAAUGUUGGAUGUAAAACUUGUCUAUAACAAAGUUGUAUAUAAUUCAUGUAUCUACCUGGUGUUAAAUUUUGGUGGCAUUUGGCCCUAUAGGUUCUGAGUUAUGCAUGUCUAAAUUCAAGUUUCAGAAAUGGUUCCUCUCUGUCAAAUCCUGGAUCAGUUUCUGUAGUUGUGCAAUUUCGACCUACUAAACUUGUGAAUCAUGCUUUGAUGAUGAAAGAUAAAUUGUAGAAAUUUUCAUAAGCUUUCCAAAAUGUUAUGGAUCAUGACUUUUAGUGAUUUAGAACUCUGGUUAUAGAUGUUUAAAGCUUAAUGUCUGAUUCUGUCCAAUAUCUGGACAGGAUUGUUUCUGCAUGCUAUUUGGCCAUUUUAUCUAUUAAAUCAGUUCUCGAAAAUAAUAACAAGGUUGUAGAAAAUUAUCUAAGCUUUCCAGAAAGUCUAAUAUCACCUUUAUUGGAUGCUUGGAUCUCUAAUUAUGGUUGAAUGAAGUUGCAUAUAUGCUGCUGUCCUGGUUAUGUGUGCAAAUUUGAUUUAUGUUUGAAUAUGUAUAGAAAAGUUGUGCAGAUUCAAAAAUAGUGAAAAUAUUAGGAUAUGUUCUAUGCAGUAUGUAGAACACAGAAAAAAUGAUAGGUUUUAUUUUCUAGCUAUAUAUAUAUGUAUGAAAAUGGUAGCCUUUAUUUAGUAAAUAACACUUUCAUGAAUUUUAAUAAUUUAGUGAUAUGUCCAAAUAUCACCAAAAUUGGUGGUAUGCCUCUGAAUAUUAUUCCCUGGCUUCACACAAAAUUUGGUGGCAUUUGGAUGAUGUUUGAAUAAAAUAUUAUCAUACCCUUAAUUAGUAAUUUAGUAAUAAUUCCAAAAUAAUUAAGUAAUAAUUAGCUUAAUUUCUCAAAUUAGGAUUUGAGUGCCUUUGAGAUUGGGUGUUGACCUUAGGUCAUUAACCUUAAUGACCUUUGGCAUUUAAUUAUUGUUUGGUAUUAAUGCUUAAUUACUGUCCUUAAUACUUAAUUAAGAACUAAUUAAGAUAAAAAGGAUUAAUAAUUAGUUAAUUAAGGAUAAUUAUGAAUUAGGAGAAAUAUUAAUUUACUGAUGCAACCUCUUGGGUAAAAACACUAAAAUGAUAAACGACUUUAAUUACUGUUUAACCCAUCCUUGCAUCGAGAAGGAAAGUUGUACGCAACUCGGUCCUUCUUAAAUAUUUGUCAUACGCAUAUCAUGAGCAUCCAUCAUUUUGCGUAUAGUGCACGUGACCGAAGGAGCGACCGUUGAACCGAACCCCGAGGUCGGUGCUCCGUUCGAGGAAGUAGAAUCCGAGGCUUGGGAAGUCUCCGAGGGUCCCUCUUAGCUCUGCAACCAAGGCAAGCCCCGGAUGCAUUAACUCCUCCUUGAAUGUUUUAAAUCUUUUAUCACUUAUGAAUUGAAAAUGCUGCAUUAGGUAGUUGAAAAUUAGGUUAACCUACUUGCUGCAUUUACUACCUUGAUAUUUGUUAUCCUGUCCUUGACACCUAUUUUAUUUUAAAAAUUGCGUAGUGAUGCUUAGCCCUGCUACUAGAUAGGUUUUCAAACAAGAAAGUUUGAAGGGUUGUUGUGGAAUACACUUAUGGUCAAUGAUGUUUCAACUUGAGACCGGUCGGUGGACUUGCUUUAAGAAUGGAGUCUUAAAGUAGUGUCUCCAACUGUGUCGAUUAAGGACCGUUCCAUUGGUGGCCUGCUGGGUUGAGAACUUAUAGUACUAGCCACUUGCCCUCGGUAAGCCCGGUCUUGUGAUCCCUCGACGCGAACAGCUACUCGCGCACUGGGCGUGGAGCGAUGGCGAGAGUAGCGUGUACCCACCUUACGGAUCUAAGAUGAACGGGAAACAUCUAGAUCGGCUGUAGGAUGGUGGGGUACUGAGCUCUCGGGUGCCGCGAACCUGGUCAAAUUUGGGGAGAGCUCGAUUUGGGUUGAUAUAUGCAAGAUUUGGUUCUACAUAUGUCGGGUGGUUAGGAACUCCAGCUGGAUUGCUAAGCGGUUCGAAUCGUCGUUGCUCUCCGAUUGGGAGACUCAAUCCACUGACCCUCAUCGUAGUUAAAUAUGCAACUAAGUGGUAAAAUGAGAAAGGGGGAAAUGUCUCAUGAGGUUCGGAUCCCAAUUCCUGGACUCAGAGUGACAUGAAGCUAUGGCCGUUGGAUAGAUAAUACUUUGAUUAAGGACUAGGAACUUACAGACUUGUCUGCGAGAAGCAACUAGAUAGACUGUCCUCAAACUCCUCGGCCUCUUGAGGAGAGGAAUUCGUGGGUAAAACUUGAAAGUAAGGAUGCACUAUUAGUAAGCUUUUUAGCAAAACAUUUUGGCUCCUUGCUCAGCCACUCCUUGUCUACCCUAAGCCUGCAUUCCUAAGUUCUCCUAUUUUUCCGCCGGGUAAGUCUUGUUGAGUACUCCAGUACUCAGGGUUUUAUAACCCCUGUUGCAGGUGCUGACUUAUGCUGCUAAUGGAGGUCAUGUCGGUGGGCGUGACAUGAUUUAUCCACCUCUUCUACCUUAGAAGCUUCACCUAAGAUGCUUCCGCUACUCUACACACCUUUUGGAAAUUUAGUUGUUUAUAUUCCAUCAUAUGUUGUAAGUUGAGUUAUAAAUCUUCCGCACUCCGAUGUAAGUUAUUUUUGUAACAAAUGUUGUAAUGUUGUGGUAACUCCAUGUUGAUCCUGUAUGAGUUAAAAUGUGGAUGAUUCGGGGUCCUCCGAGGGCACCCGACAGACUACCCAAGUUAUAUGACUCUCAUGUGCAGUAGUCAGAGGUCUUAGGGACAAUGUCAAGUGCAUGUGGGCCAUAUAAUUAGGGUGGUUCUGCCACAGUCUGUUUAGAUAUAGUGCUAAUCUCGAUCCAAGAUAGGAUGCACAGUUUGCAUGGAACGUACCAUAUCCUCGAAAAUCAAUUUGGACGCACCCGAUGGAACUCCUAGAUGACGUGUGUCAUAUGAAAUCUGGCUUCGCUCUGUUUGGGAAUAGUGUUAGUUUCAAUGCAAGAUAGGUGCACGGUUUGUGCCUAAUGGACCAUAGGCUAAGAAACCAUUUUGGACGCACCUGAUGGUACUCCAAGGUUAAAGGGCUCAAGUGGAAGCUCGGUUUGGUCUGUUUGGAGAUAGUGCUAAUCUUGAUGAAAAAUAGGUGCAUAGUUUGCGUGGAACAUACCAUAUGCUUAAAAAUCAAUUUGGACAUACUCAAUGGAAUUCCUAGAUGACGUGUGUCAUAUGGAAUCUCGCAUCGGUCCAUUUGAAGAUAGUGCUAGUUCUGGUGCAAGAUAGGUGCACGGUUUGUGCCUAAUGCACCAUAGGCUAAGAAACCAUUUUGGACAAAUCUAAUGGUACUCCUAGGUGAAGGGGCUUAAAUGGAAGCUCAGUUUGGUCUGUUUGGAGAUAUUGCUAAUCUUGAUGCAAGAUUGGUGCAUGGUUUGCACGGAACGUACCAUAUGCACGGAACGUACCAUAUGCUCAGUAAUCAAUUUGGAAACACCUGAUGGAAGUCCUAGUUGACAUGUGUCAUGUGGAAUCUCGUUUUGGUCUAUUUGGAUACAGUGUUAGUUUUGGUGCAAGAUAGGUGCACAGUUUGCAACCAAUACACCAGAGUCUAAGAAACCAUUUUGGAUGCAUAUGUUGGUACUCCAUGGUGAAGAGGCUCAAGAGGAAGUAGUGCUAAUCUUGAUGCAAGAUAGGUGCAUGGUUUGCAUGGAACAUAUCAUAUGCUCGGAAAUCAAUUUGGACGCACCUAAUGGAACUCCUAGAUGACAUGUGUCAUAUGAAAUCUUGCUUCGGUCCGUUUUGAGACACUGUUAGUUUUGGUGCCAGAUAGUUGCAUGGUUUGUGCCUAAUGCACCAUAGGCUAAGAAACCAUUUUGGACACACCCGAUGAUACUCCUAGGUAAAGGGGCUCAAGUGUAAGCUCGGUCCAGUCUGUUUGGAGAUAGUGCUAAUCUUGAUGCAAGAUAGGUGCACGGUUUGCAUGGAACGUACCAUAUGCUCGAAAAUCAAUUUGGAUGCACCCGAUGGAACUCCUAGAUGAUGUGUGUCAUAUGAACUCUUGCUUGGGUCCAUUUGGAGAUAUUUCUAGUUUCGGUGCAAGAUAGGUGCAUGGUUUGCGCCUAAUACACCAUAGGCUAAGAAACCAUUUUGAACGCACCCGAUGGUACUCCUAAGUUAAAGGGCUCAAGUGAAAGCUCAGUUUGGUCAGUUUGGAGAUAGUGCUAAUCUUGAUGCAAGAUAGGUGCACAGUUUGCGUGGAACGUACCAUAGGCUCAGAAACUAAUUUGGACGCACCCGAUGGAACUUCUAGAUGACGUGUGUCAUAUGUAAUCUCGCUCCGGUCGAUUUGGAGAUAGUGUUAGUUUAGUGCAAGAUAGGUGCACGGUUUGCGCCUAAUGCACCAUAGUCUAAGAAACCAUUUUGGAUGCACAUGUUGGUACUCCAUGGUGAAGAUGCUCAAGUGGAAGUAGUGCUAAUUUUGAUGCAAGAUAGGUGCAUGGUUUGCAUGGAACAUAUCAUAUGCUCGAAAAUCAAUUUGGACGCACCUAAUGGAACUCCUAGAUGACAUGUGUCAUAUGGAAUCUUGGUUCGAUCCGUUUUGAGACACUGUUAGUUUUGGUGCAAGAUAGGUUCAUGGUUUGUGCAUAAUGCACCAUAGGCUAAGAAACCAUUUUGGACACACACGAUGAUACUCCUAGGUAAAGGGGCUCAAGUGUAAGCUCGGUCCAGUCUGUUUGGAGAUAGUGCUAAUCUUGAUGCAAGAUAGGAGCACGGUUUGCAUGGAACGUACCAUAUGGUCGGAAAUCAAUUUGGAUGCACCUGAUGGAACUCCUAGAUGACGUGUGUCAUAUGAAAUCUUGCUUCGGUCCAUUUGGAGAUAGUUCUAGUUCCGGUGCAAGAUAGGUGCACGGUUUGCGCCUAAUACACCAUAGGCUAAGAAACCAGUUUGGACGCACCCGAUGGUACUCCUAGGUUAAAGGGCUCAAGUGAAAGCUCAGUUUGGUCAGUUUGGAGAUAGUGCUAAUCUUGAUGCAAGUUAGGUGUACAGUUUGCGUGGAACGUACCAUAUGCUUAGAAACUGAUUUGCAUGCACACGAUGGAACUUCUAGAUGACGUGUGUCAUAUGUAUUCUCUCUCUGGUCCAUUUGGAGAUAGUGUUAGUUUAGUGCAAGAUAGGUGCACGGUUUGUGCCUAAUGCACCAUAGGCUAAGAAACCAUUUUAGACACACCCAAUGGUACUCCUAGGUGAAGGGGCUCAAAUGGAUGCUCAGUUUGUUCUGUUUGGAGAUAGUGCUAAUAUUGAUGCAAGAUAGUUGCAUGGUUUGCAUGGAAGAUACCAUAUGCUUGGAAACCAAUUUGGGCUCACCCGAUGGAACUCCUAGAUGACGUGUGUCAUAUAGAACCUCGAAUUGGUCUGUUUGGAGAGAGUGUUAGUUUCAGUGCAAGAUAGGUGCACGAUAUGUGCCUAAUACACCAUAGACGACGAAACCACUUUGGAUGCACCAGAUGGUACUCCUAGGUAAAGAGGCUCAAGUGGAAGCCUAGUUUGGUCUAUUUGGAGAUCGUGCUAAUCUUGAUCCAAGAUAGAAUGCUCGGUAUGCAUGGAACAUACCAUAUGCUCAUAAAUCAAUUUAGACGCACCCAAUGGAACUCCUAGAUGAUGCGUGUCAUAUGAAAUCUUGCUUCGGUCUAUUUGGAGAUAGUGUUAGUUUUGAUGCAAGAUAUGUGCAUGGUUUGUGUCUAAUGCACCAUAGGCUAAGAAACCAUUUUGGUCGCACCCAAUGGUACUCCUAGGUUAAAGGGCUCAAGUGGAAGCUCUAUUUGGUCUGUUUACAUAUCGUGCCAAUCUUGAUCUAAGAUAGGAUGCACAGUUUGCGUGGAACGUACCAUAUGCUCAAAAAUCAAUUUGGACGCACAUGAUGGAACUCCUAGAUGACAAAUGUCAUAUGGAAUCUCGCUUCGGUCUAUUUGGAGAUAGUGUUAGUUUCGAUGCAAGAUAGGUGCAUGGUUUGUGCCCAAUGCACCAUAUGCUAGGAAACCAUUUUGGAUGCACCCAAUGGUACUCCUAGGUUAAAGGGCUCAAGUGAAAGCUCAGUUUGGUCUGUUCGGAGAUAGUGUUAAUCUUCAUGAAAGAUAGGUGCACAGUUUGCGUGGAACGUACCAUAUGCUCGAAAAUCAAUUUGGAUAUACUCGAUGAAACUCCUAGAUGACAUGUGUCAUAUGAAAUCUCGCUUCAGUCUGUUUGGAGAUAGUGUUAGUUUUGGUGCAAGAUAGGUGCACAGUUUGUGCCUAAUGCACCAUAGGCUAAGAAACCAUUUUGGACACACCCAAUGGUACUCCUAGGUGAAGGGCCUCAAAUGGAAGCUCAAUUUGGUCUAUUUGGAGAUAGUGCUAAUCUUGAUGCAAGAUAGGUGCAUGGUUUGCAUGGAACAUACCAUAUGCUCGGAAAUCAAUUUGGAUUCACCCGAUGGAACUCCUAGAUGACGUGUGUCAUAUGGAAUCUUGCAUCGGUCUGUUUGGAGAGGGUGUUAGUUUCGGUGCAGGAUAGGUGCACGAUUUGUGCCUAGUGCACCAUGGUUGAGGAAACCACUAUGGACACACCCAAUGGUACUCCUAGGUAAAGGGGCUCAAGUGGAAGCUUGGUUUGGUAUGUUUGGAGAUCAUGCUAUUCUUGAUCCAAGAUAGGAUGCACGGUUUGUAUGGAACAUACCAUAUGCUUAGAAACCAAUUUGGACGCAUGUUGGGUAUUUUAAACGCAAACAGAAAAAUCCGCAAGCGCACGGAUACCAAUGUAGCCUUCACCCGGGAGUAUUCCAGAGUAUCGAUUUUCCACAGAGAACGUGAGUGUACUAAUUAAGAUCCAAGAUCGCCCAAGGAUAACUAUAUAAUUAUUUUUGGUGGGAAGAGAGGAAGUUUCCUGAGAGUUCUCUAGUUGAUCUAAGAAUCAAGAAUUACUUCAAGAUUAUCUAUAUCGGGACGUCAGAGCACAAACCACAGAAAGAGAUGAGAAGGGGGCUAGGAAGGUCUGACUACGGUCCUACAAACACCGACCCGAACAUGGUGGAAUACGUCGACCGUUAGGGCUGUCACUACCCUAAGGCUACCACAAGAAUCCGCAGGAUUGGGUGCAAUUCCAGGUAAUUGCAAGACUAAACACCACGUCUAAUCUAUUAAUUACUACUCUAAUGUUUCAAAGAUUAGAGCACUUGAUCCAAGCGGGAAUCCAAUAAAUAACUUGAAUGUAAAUAAAAGUAAUUAGAGAACUCAGGAGUUAUGAAUUGAAGAACCUGGAGAACGAUGAAGAACGAACCAGAUGCUGCAAAAGUACAAUGUUGAGGAAGAUCCGACAGAUCCGGCUCCUCCUCCGCUCUCCUCUUCUCUCUCCCUAUUUUCUAGAUUACAACUAGAACUAACUAGAACUAGAACUAGAGGAACUAGAACUAGAACUAGAUGAACUAGAACUAGAUCUAGAUGAACUAGAGGUAGAACUAGAAGAACUAGAGGGAUCCUCUCUACUUGGAGGAAGAAUUGAAACCCUAACUUUGAUUCUAUAGAAGAGGUAUGAUCUCCAGGGGCCAGGGGGGUCUGGUUUCAUAGUCCCUUCAAGUGAAUCUGGGCCGUUGGAUCAAACCGACAUUGAUUGAACGGUUAUUGUUGAUCCUUUAGGUCGGUGGAGCAAUAUCCCGAAAGAGAGUCCUGAUUGGACUCUGGCUGAGGGCGGGCGCCCAGGAAAGGAGGGCGGGCGCCCUGUCCCUGUGUCCUCUCGGCCUCCGCUUCGGUCCCGUGGCUUCUGGAGUCUUCUAGAUGAUAGAAAAUUGCAUGGCACGUUAAUAUCUCUAUGUAAACCUGACGUGUGGGCCUUUCUUUUAUAUUUCCUGAUAACCCCCUGCAGAAAUACACAAACACCAAAACUUGUGGAAUUCUGUCAGAUAAAACCCUAAGUCUAGGUGUUGGUUGCAUUUGGAUCCUUUUCCAUUAUUAGUUGAUGGUUAAAUAUGAGCAUUAAGGACCGUCAACAAGCUCCCCAAGCUUAACCUUUGCUCGUCCCUGAGCAAAGAUGAACUCAAGAGUUUCUGCAGUGGUUUCAUAACUUAAAGAUACACAUGCGUUUAAACAAGAUCUCAUCUCUAGUUAGAGUAAACUGUUAAGACUUAAAACUUACUCAUUUACCUUUCACCAUGGGACUUGUAACCGUCACUUCUGUCUUGAGUAGUUAAAAGAUAGAACGGUCUAGUCAAGUGCCAUGUCUCUUGUUCUUCGAUUAACUAUAGCUCUAGAGUUUUUGCAGAUUUUCAAAUAAAACUCAGAGUUUCCUUGUAUGACUCUCUCUAGUCUCUCAUUUGUGGUAUUUCUGGAUCCUUACCAAGGCAUUAAUGGUGUAUGCCUUCUCUCAAAGUAUGUGGUAUUUUUGGUAUAAGGCAUAGUGGCAUUGCCUUCUCUCUCACCCUACUCUAAUAAGGCUUUUGAUAUCUGGAGCUCAUAGGUGGGAGACAGCUAAUACAUACUUACAAGACAUUUAUUGCAUAGUCAAACCAUGGAUCUAGAAGAACAAGUCAAUAAGUCAAAUCAAGAUGUGCAUGUGUGGCGAAUGAAUGGUGUAUGGUGAUGAUGGUGAUAACAAUGGUGAAAGUCUAAUUCUACUUUUGCUCUUUUGAGGGGAUACAUACCUUUCUUGCUCUUUUGAAACUUUUUGAGGAGGGUGAGAUGCUCUGUAUUUUCUUUUUCUUUUCUCUCAGGUGGGUAUCUUGCACCCCUAAUUCUACUGUCGGACACUUGUCCAUUUUUACCUCUCGUCUCACUUUUUUUUUUUUCUUUCGAGGUUCCGGGCACUUGCCCCUUUUUAUUUCCACGUAUUCUUCUUUUUUUUCUUUUUUUUUCUUUAGAGCACUCAUCUCAUGAGAUAAUAUAGCAAGUGGUAGUAACAAGAUAACUUGAGCAUUUAUUUCACAAGAAAAAAUAGAAAUAUUUUUGGCUAUUCUCUCCCGGAUUAGGACUAGAAUAUUUUUGGGUGGUUUUGGAGAUGGAAAUGGGUAUAUGUGGAUGGUACUUCCAGAGUAGAAGUAGCAUGUAUGAGUGAACGUGCAAGUGAAUCUUGACUUAACCACAUGACAAGCUCCUAAGGGUCUACACAGCUUGACCACACUCAAUGCUCAUAAGCAGUAAAGUAAGUGUGUGGCUCAAAGUCUAGCAAGCAUGUAUAUAUGGCUGUGGUAGCAAUUUAAACUCUCAUCAUACAGGAACUCAUCAUGUAAUAUUUUAAAGAUUUUCAAAGAUAAAAUUCUCCAGAAUUCUAGCAUCUCUAGGAAGAGAUAAACAGCAGCUCAACCUUCCCAUAUCAUAUCCGUUAACGACUUAGACUUCAGAUCAAGUACUCUUCCCACAAGUUUAGGUUCAGAGCAAAUCUUAAUUUAUAACCGUCAUGCCUAAACUUGAGAGAGAUUUCAAUUUUUAGAACUAAUCAUGGCAGAGCAACUAUUCAUUAUUUCUAUGUGAGAGCUUAUCAUGAGGGUUCAUAGCAAACCUUAUUUAUUUAUUUAUUUAGCAAACUAAGCAAAGAUAUAUAUAAGCACAAAAUCUUUAUUUGGGUUUUUAUGAUUAUGAAUCUUUUUAUUAUUUGAGUAAAGUAUAAACGUGAGUAGAAACACUUAGCUGGAUAAAUGGGGGUGCUCUCCCCCAAGCUUGAUUUUGACGAAGUUUCUUCUGAUGUAGCUAGCAGGUGGCGGAGGUGUAUUUGAAUGUCAGCAGCAUUCUGACAGUGAUUAGGAUGUCCUCCGUCAGCUAGUCUUCUUUGAUCCUUGAAUUCUGUGGAGCUCAAAUAGACAACAAAGCUUUGUGGAACUGGUUAAGUGUUAGCAUAAAUACCUAGCCUUUAUUAUGUUGAGCCUCCUCAAUAAAUGUUACUCUCUUUGGUAGGAUCAUAAAUCUAUUUUUAUAAUUUUAUUUUUAUAGGACAGAAAUAUAUUUAUUUUAUUUUUAUGCCACCACAGUGAAUGUACUUAUGGGUUUUAUGCCAUGAGCAUACUCACAUGGGGCUUAUUUAACAUUUUUAUUUUCUUUUCAAGAUGAUAUGAACCUUAUUAACUAAGCAAACUAUUUUAAAAUAAUUGAAAGGAAAAAGAUAACUACCAAAUUUACCUCUUGGCAAGGCGUUCGGUGCUUUUAAGUCCUCCGAACGGGACUCUCCGUUUUCUCAGUCGUCCUGGGAUUCGCUGGGUGGCGUAGUCAGUGGUUCCGGCGGCACUUCUUCUUCGUGUAAAACUAUCUUCUUUCUCCACACCUAACUCGGUGCUACGGUCUCCUGAGGACAGUUCUGUUCAAGCUGUAUGUCUUUAGACAUUACUAUUUCUUCUUCAUAGUCUGCUCAUCCGUCCUUGAUGAUUUUGCCUCCUCUGGUUGCGGUUGCAUCGUCGUCUUCUUGUCCUGACCUGCUUAGAGUCUUUAACUAUAUAGUUAGGGUCAGUAAAAUAGCGGCGUACCUUCUCAGAGGGGAAGUUCAUGUGGACUUCUCCGGUUCCAAUGUAGAUGAUUAUUUUAACGGUGCUGAGGAACUGUCUCCCAAGGAUGAUGGGUGGAUCGUGCUCAUCUUUUCCCAUGUCAAUAACCAUUCAGAAUGUCUGAUCUGCCAUCUGAAGCUGAAUGUAUGUCGGUUUU